rnacentral:lncRNA from 1 species
AGCAAAGAUGUCAAGAAAAUUGAAGGAUGCUCCGUGAAACUAAUCCGCAGCAGUGAACCCUACUGUGCUGUGGCCUCAUCAACCACCUCAUCUUCCCUACACCUCAAGGCAAGAAAGCAAGGGACUCACAUAUUCUCUGCUGGUUUCUUCACCUUCAAGCCUCUCAAGCAACCCAGCUUAUGCAACCAGAAACCCAGCAUUCAGAAUUCCAAGAAAUUAAAUUCCCAGAAGUUCUCAGAGAUGGCAUUCCCGUCCUCCUCUCAGGUGGACCCCAAAAUGCAUGAUCCCUCUCUCAAUCAAUCUGAUCUCCUAGGUCUCCCAAUCAAUCUCCCAGGACUCCCAGGUCUCCCAGGACUCCCAGGCCUCCCAGGCCUCCCAGGACUUCCAAUAUCCCUUGCUGCUGAAAAAACUUCAUCUAAGUCCUCCAACUCCAAAACUUCAAAGAAUGGGCAACUAGGUGAUAAUAGAGAAGUAGCCCAUCCAGAUUCUCCACCAGCAGGUUCAGCACCAUGAUUCCCAACCUGCCACCUAUCCUGGUUUCUGUUGGGUUCCUAUCCUAUUGGGCGUAACCCGUUUAAGUAUAAUAAGCCCAUUUAGGUCUUCUGAGUUGUGGUUUCCUGAACUUCUAUGUAUAUGGUCUCUUCCUUCUCCUUGAGAACUAUGUGAAAUAUUAAGAGAACUAUGUGAAAUAUUGAAUAUUUAAGUUUUAUCUUCUUUUCCCAUUUUCUCUGUAAUUUUCCCUCUUUCUUCUCUAACGAGAAUGUGUCAUGCAUAGACAGCUAGUCAGCUACGAGUACGGUAAUAUAAUACGAUUCAAUUAUUAGUUAAAUACAAUGAUUAUCGUUGAAACUCAAAAUUUCAGGACAAGGGAGUCGCAUGGAUUCAGAUAUAAAAAUUAUAUAUAUAUAUAUAUAUAUAUAUAUAUAUAUAUAUAUAUAUAUAUAUAUAUAUAUAUAUAUAGGGAAUUGUUAUUGGCACUUCAAAAAUCUCAUUCUACACUCCAAAUUUUCUAUGUUUGGAAAGAAAAAAACAUUUGUGAGGUGUGUAGAAUUAGAUUUUUGGAGUGACAAUAACAAUUCCCUAUAUAUAUAUAAAUUAUUAUUGAAUAUUACCCAAGGAUGAAAUAUGUGAUGUUUAUUAACUAAUGAAAUGUGCUUGAAAACUUUGAGUUUUAAUGAUAAGGACAAAAUAAAGGGUAAAGUGAAUAGUACCAGGAUUGACUUUUUAAUGUAAAAAUGUAGUUUUUCGUUAAAAUGAACAGUACCAGGAACUUUUCGUUAAAGUUCCCUUAUUAAUAAGCAUUUUAGGAAUAUCUCUGACUAUGUUUAUUAACAAUUCCCUAUUAUUGAAUAUUAUUGAAUAUAACCUUUUUCAUCCUUGGGUAAUAUUCAAUAAUAAUUUAUAUAUAUAAUAUUAUAAUAAUUUAUAUAUAUAUAUAUAUAUAUAUAUAUAUAUAUAUAUAUAUAUAUAUAUAUAUAUAGGGAAUUGUUAUUGUCACUCCAAAAAUCUAAUUCAGGGACGUCGUCGUUCUGUAAAUUAUUAAACCAUUCAAAUAUGCGAUGUUUAUUAAUAAGCAUUUUAGGAAUAUCUCUGACUAUGUUUUUAGAUUAACAUGCGCUUAGCAACAGAAAAUUGUCAUGGAGAAGCGGUUGCCCAAACUUAAGGCUGCAAUUUUGAGUGCUCAGAAGUGCUUGGAAGAUUGCAACUAUGUUAGGGGAUUGGUGAGUGACCAUCAUACGCGGAGUUGUUCUGCAUUUUUUAGUUGUACAGUAGUUGUAUAGACAGUCCAUUUUUCUACGUUAGCAGUACAAUUUCUUUUUGUUUUCAUCUUGUUUUUCCUCUCUUUAAUUGUCUGAACUGCAAUACGUUUCUGCAGCUUGAUGAAUGGUGGGACUCCCACCCACCAUAACCGUUGCUCAUCCCUAGAUAGGAGCAACCAGCAACAAUUGUUGUUGACUGGGUCUGAGUCGAUGGAUUAAAUGUUGCUGCCUGGCAUGAUCAUGUGAAGCAGCUCCUUGAAUUUUAUGAUCAGGAGCACUUGUGAGUAUUAUUCGAGUACUCAGCAAACAAGAUUUUAUGGGGAUCUAACUGGUCUUCCUGUUGGCAGUCCCACAUUGAUGGGGGAAGUCAACAAGGGUGGCUAUAAAUAUGAUUACGCUACUCUAACUAAUACCAAGGUUUUUUUUGGUAAAACCCCACACUUGACGGAUUGGGCAGGUGAUAAAGUUGGGGACUGUAUCGGUCUUAUUAGAGUGGCCAGUUGGGGACUCUAUAGGUCUUGUUAGAGUGGUCCCUGGGUCCGUCGAUCUCUACGAAGCCCCUUGUUUCAUUCAUUCUCGCAUUGCUAAAAACACAUUUUCAUUCAUUCUCGCAUCGUUAAAAACACCUACAAAGGCUUGGUAGAAACUCAAGCUCGACUUUAUGCUUGGAAGGUGAAUUCAUUAUCUCUGGCUGGUCGCGCCACUUUUGUUCAGUCUAUGACCUCCGCUGUCCAGUAUAUGCUUUGCAGACAAUAUUACCAAUUACCAUUACAGAUAACCCCGAGUGUCAAAGAUUUUCCCAAGGCAAGAGAAGUUUGGCAAAAGUUGGAAAGUAUAACCAAUAGUCAGACCACAUUAAUUUUCAUGAUUGGCUUCAUUUUAAUUUCACCACUAAAUCACUCAUAUUGGGGGGUUUAGAGUAGAUGUUAGUAUUUUCUGUUGCUUGUUGGUUUAUUUGGUAUUGGCGAAAUACAUUUAUUUUCGAGCAAGAUUUUGCAAUGUUAGAUGAGCCUACCGUCGAUAUUUGUGCAUAUUUUCAUGAAUUGUUAGCCUUCUAAUACUCACAAAAUUGAUAAAUGCCGAAAGACUGAAUCUUUGCUCCACUGGGAAGCUCUUCAUUCAAAAUUGAUUUACACUUGAUGGAAAAUAAUGCUCCUUACAUAACUAACCGGCAGCCGUGCCGGAGGCAAUGUGUGUAUGGAAUCAUAUACUGAGGAUAUUGUCACUUCUAUGUUACGAUUUGAGGAGAGAAAGGCGGAGUAGGGAAGCCGGCCGAGAGGAACAGCUCCUGAUCUUAAGAAGGAUAUGUUGUAUCAUAAACUUAUAACUUGGUCCCUUAUUGAAUGAAAGGGCAGGCUUCUGCUUUGAAUAAUACCACUUCAGACUUCAGUCCAAUUAUGUCUUCCUGUUCUGAAAAUUGACAACUCCAUGUGAUAACAAAACAUCUCAUGUAUUAUUGUACGGUUGAAAAUUGCUGCUUUACACUAUACAUUUAACGUGAUUAGAAAUUCCAUGAAAAUUUACAAACAAUACCAGGGAUGUGUCAUAGGCUGAAAAGGAGUAAGGAUGUUUGUACAUAGGCUGAAAAGGAGUAGGGAUGUUUGUACGUUCCUUCCCCACAGCAAAACCACAUAGCAAAAGGAUUACAAACACAGCUAACAAAUCAAUAAACACAAAAUCAUCAUUAGGUCAACGAUCAUAUGAUUAUAUCAGAUGCACGUCAAUUAAAUAAUUCUCAUGUUCAACUAAGGUCACUAAAAGCCCCCUAUUUGGCCUAAUUAGAUAUGGUCUUCGUGGUGAUAGGAUAUUUGUAAUAUAGCUCAUGACUUAAAAAAAAAAAUUCGGAUUUAAACCCUUGUGGUGAUAGGGUAUUUAGAAGACAAUCCAUUUCUAUUGAGCCACAAUGAAGGGAGUGCAGAAAUUCACAGUUUUGUUUUUGGGAUUAACAAAGAAAUAACAGAAAUUUGGUUUUUGGGCUUAAAUCACAACGGACUUCACCACAAGAAUAUAAAUCUGAUUUUUUUUACCACAUGGGCUAUCUUCCGAAUACUCUAUCAUCACGAGGACUAUUUAUACAAUUAGGUCAAUGUUUUUUUAAGGUGAAUAUCACAUGCUAAAACGGAGAAGGAUUCUCUCAUCUUCUAAUCUCUCUCCCAUUCCCUCCUCUCCUACUUGAACAAUUAUGAUUAAGUUAUGUCAAUAUUUUAUAUUGAUAUUUUUAUAAAGAUAAUAAGACAAAAAACAAUGUGUUGAUGCACAAAAUCAGCGAGGACUUUGGUACAACAGAAAGUGUCAGGUUUGUGACAUUCGCUUGGUUGCUUCGAUCACUAGUGAAGAUAAGUACGUAAAUGAAUAGGGACAGGGAAGCAAACACAAGAUGUACGUGGUUCACCCAAAUCGACUACGUCCACGGAGUAGAGGAGUUCUCAUUAAUUGUGAAGGGUUUACACAAAUACAUAGGUUCAAGCUCUCAUUUUUUGAGUUCUAGUGAAUAGUUUAGUACAAAAUGACAUUAGAUAUUAUUGUGGGAGAAUGAUCCCUAUUUAUAGAAGAAAGUUUCUAGUUUUGUUCUAACAUUGACACGUGUCGUGUUGUGAUUGGCUUCUGAUGUUGACACGUGUCGCGCUGUGAUUGGCUUCUGAUGUCGACACGUGUUGCAUUGUGAUUGGCCUCCUGGUUGAAGGGAAGCUCUUCUGGGUCCUUGACGUAUAACGUUGACCGGUGCUCAGUAGUUUCGGGAUUGGUCAAGUAUGGUACAAACAGUGCUCCCCUAAGUUCCCGAGUGAGGGAAGCUCCUCGGUUGGGGACUUGCAAGAUCCAAGCCACUGAGUAAUCACGAAACUUCUAAGUACCGAAGUGUGGUAUCAUUUUCACGCGCCUUAUCUGUCUCAUAUGUAGAUGUGGCAUCUUCUUUGGAAGUACUUUUCCUUCAUCCAUGGGUGGUAUCUUUAACCGAUGAAGAUGCACAAGGUAAUGUAUCAAUUUCACUUGAAGCUUACUUAUAGUUUCGGGCUUGGUCAAGUGCGAUACAAACCCUAUAGUAGGAGUCCCCCAAGUCGCCGAGCUAGGAGAUCUGCCGAAAGAGGUGACAGACAAGGUAAGCAGUCAAACUUCCAAGCAAGCAACCCAGGAUCAGAGGUUCGACUUCGGCUUCCGGUUGAUUGUUCUCCUUCUCCUUGUCUCUCAUUCAGCUGCCGGGAUAAGGAGAGGCAAAUGGAGAAGAGAUGAUAUGAGAUACUUUUGCUUUUGAAGAAGUAACUUUCCACAGGCUUAUUCUUGAACUGUGCUGGAGGGUUUUCUGGUUCCCUUCAGAGUAUAAGGCCGACUCAAGAAUUUGAGGGUCAAAACAAGUCCAUCAAAUCUAGAGUACGUUCGACCUUGAUGAUAUGGGAUACUUUUGCUGUUGACGGAAUAGUGAAUGUGGUAUGGAAAAGUGUCGUGCUGUAGUGAUCUGUUUCAGCUCACCGUUAAACCUUCUGCUUUAAUCUUUUGCAUGGCAGAAGUGGUGUGCAACCUUUGCAUUUAAAUGGUCCUUCAGAACAUUCCUUCAUAGUGACUCAUCCACGCUUGGCAGCUUCAGUGUAAAGAGCCAAUAUCUGAUCAACUGUCAUGAGGUAUGUGCCGGUGGAAUUCAUGACCUUGACAGCAGUUGAGGAUGAGUUCUCGAGAGCAAUGCUAAGUAAGCAACCAGGCAAAGGUCUCAGGCAGUCAGUUCCAGAUUGGAGGUUUGAUUUCAGGUUCCGACUGACUGCUCUCUUUCUCUUGUCCUGCAGGUGUGGACAAGGACGAAGACAAGGACAGGGAGAAAGCAUAAUAUGAGAUACUCUUACUUUCGACCCUGAUGAUAUGAGAUACUCUUGUUCUUGGUGUGGCUUAUUUGCUGAGGUAUUAUCGGGGGGAAAUAAAGCUGAGUAUUUCGAGAGGUUAUGUUGAGGGUGCAUUCUCGAAUGUGAGAAAGGGUUGAGCAUUUUUGUAGGUUUGCCUGUCCGUUGAGGAUGGAGGUCGAUGUAUAUAGGGAUUUCCCAAUAACAAGUAGUAAUGCUAUUCCUUUAUCCUUCUUGGUCACAACAAUGUAGUGGGAGCUGCCAGCUUCACGUGUUUUAACUUUGUCAGAGCACUUUGAAAAAUUGGUAUGUGGUAUCUGGAAAGCUGAUGUUGCGUGUGAAGAUUACAGACAAGCUUUAUCUAAGGAAAUCUGGCUCUCGAAGUUCUGAGAGCUGUGCCUCUUCGGUUUUCGAACAAGCAAUCCCGUCGGGGAUCUAGCUCUCGAGAUUCGGAAAGCGGUGCAGCUUCGGUUUUUGAGAAAGUAAUUAUGUUAGGAGUCUUUUCUCGAAGGUGAGUAAAGGUUGGACGUUCUUGCCAGCCUGUCUUGCCACAGAACACGGAGGUCGACACACAUAGGGGCUUUCCAGUUGUCAAGCAGUGGUGCUGUUCCUUUACCCUUGUGGGUAAUAGUAGGGUAGCUGGAACUUCUAAAUUCUCGUGCCUAAACUUUGUCAGAGAUCUUUGGCAAAGUUAUAUGUGGUACCCGAGGAGUUGAUGGUGCGUGUGGAGAGUGGUGAUUGAACAGUAAGAUUCACGUGCUUUUUAUUUCACCAGAAAUCUUCGACAGAUUGCCCAUAAUUUCCGCAAAGCUGAGUGUGCAUGUGACAGGUGCUGACGAGGCUGAAAAAGCAGGUGCUUCUUCGAUUUCUGAGAUCGGCCCUCGUGGUCUCUGAGCAACUCAGCUUUCGAGAAAGCAAACGCCUCUUCGAUUUCUGAAGCUCUGUCAAGUGUAGAUUUUUAUAGAGGUUGGCAUUAAGUUCCACAUCACACUUGAAUCUCCACCAGUAGAAGCUCCCUUCUUGCACUUCUAAGAUCUUGAUUUGUCUGACCUCUUCCCUCUUCAACACCUUUGAAAAUGUCUAGCUCCUCUGACCGUCGUUUUGACUUGAACCUUGGAGAAGAGACAGCCACGCCUUCUCCAGACAACAUAUGGCGCCCAUCCUUCAUAUCCCCUACUGGUCCUCUUACCGUUGGGGAUUCUGUGAUGAAGAAUGAUAUGACCGCUGCAGUGGUGGCCAAGAACCUUUUCACUCCCAAAGAUAACAUACUACUUUCCAAACGGUCUGAUGAGUUGGCUGUUAAGGAUUCUUUGGCUCUUAGUGUUCAGUGUGCAGGUUCUGUGUCUAAUAUGGCCCAACGCCUAUUUGCUAGAACCCGCCAAGUUGAAUCAUUGGCUGCUGAAGUGAUGAGUUUCAAACAGGAGAUUAGAGGGCUCAAGCAUGAGAAUAAACAGUUGCACCAGCUUGCACAUGACUAUGCUACAAACAUGAAGAGGAAGCUUGACCAGAUGAAGGAAUCUGAUGGUCAGGUUUUACUUGAUCAUCAGCGGUUUGUGGGUUUGUUCUAAAGGCAUUUAUUACCGUCGUCUUCUGAGGCUGUACUGCGUAAUGAAGCUCCAAAUGAUCAACCUCCGAUGCCUCCUCCUUCUGGGGUUCUGUCCAGUACUGAGGCUCCGGAUAACCACCCUUCGGUGCUUUCUCUUUCUGGGGCUCUACCGACUGCUGAGACUUCCCCUGAGCAACCUUUGUGAAGGCUCCCUCUUGUUUGUUUAUUUUGAUUCAUGUAUAUGUACAUAUUUGUAACUUAUCGGAAAUAUCAAUAAACAAGAUUAUCUUCAUUUCAACGUAUUGUGUUAAAUACACCAAGGCAUUCUUCACUAAGUUCUUUGAAUUUUUCCUUUUGUUGAAGCUUGUAUGUUGAAACUUUGUGAGUGAAGCAUGUAGGUUGAGGUAGUGCUCCCUUAAUUUCCCGAGUGAGGAAAACUUCUCGUUUGGAGACUUGAAAAAUCCAAGUCACUGAGUGGUCGUGAGACUUCCGAGUAUCAAGGUGCAGUAGCAUAUGGUAGGAGUCCCCCAAGUCUCUGGUCGAGGGAGUUGACAAAUGAGGCAUUUCCUUUCGAAGUGGUAGCCCAAAACUCCUUCUUCAUAUAUAUUUGUUAUGAAAGUUGUUAGGCCCAAAGAAGAGGAGGCCUAGGCAAAUUUUUUUUUUUUUGAAUUUUCAAAUUUCCGGAUUUUUGAAUUUUCGAAUUUCCGAAAAAUAAAAAAUAAAAAUAAUAUAUAUAUAUUUAAAAGCUUUGUAGGUGAAGCUUUGGUGUUGAAGAUUUGUAGGUGAAGCUUUGAGGUUGAAGCUUUGUUGGGCACCAUGAAUUGAUUUUGCUUCACACUAUCUUGAUGAAGAGUGUGUGAAGCUUUUAUAUGUUUUGGUGUUGAAAUUUUGUAUUGUAGGUGAAACUUUGGGGUUGAAGCUUGAUAGGUGAAGCUUUGGUGUUGAAGCUUUAUAGGUGAAGCUUUGGUGUUGAAAGCUUUAUAGGUGAAAGCUUUGGUGUUGAAGCUUUAUGAAGCUUUAUGUGAAGCUUUGGUGUUGAAGCUUUAUAGGUGAAGCUUUUGUUGGCACCAUAAAUUAAUUUUGCUUCACACUAUCUUGAUGAAGAUAGUGCGAAGUUUUGGAGAUUGAUAUUUGUCCUCCAUUGAUGAAGCUUUUGUUGGCACCAUAAAUUGAUCUUGCUUCACACUAUCUUGAUGAAGAUAGUGCGAAGCUUUUGAGAUUGAUAUUUGUCCUCCAUUGAUGAAGCUUUUGUUGGCACCAUAAAUUGAUUUUGCUUCACAGUAUCUUGAUGAAGAUAGUGCAAAGCUUUUGAGAUUGAUAUUUGUCCUCCAUUGAUGAAGCUUUUGUUGGCACCAUAAAUUGAUCUUGCUUCACACUAUCUUGAUGAAGAUAGUGCGAAGUUUUGGAGAUUGAUAUUUGUCCUCCAUUGAUGAAGCUUUUGUUGGCACCAUAAAUUGAUCUUGCUUCACACUAUCUUGAUGAAGAUAGUGCGAAGCUUUUGAGAUUGAUAUUUGUCCUCCAUUGAUGAAGCUUUUGUUGGCACCAUAAAUUGAUUUUGCUUCACACUAUCUUGAUGAAGAUAGUGCAAAGCUUUUGAGAUUGAUAUUUGUCCUCCAUUGAUGAAGCUUUUGUUGGCACCAUAAAUUGAUUUUGCUUCACACUAUCUUGAUGAAGAUAGUACGAAGCUUUUGAGGAUUGUAGUUGUGUUCCAUUGUUGAAGCUUUGUUUUUCCUUUUUUUUUUUUUUUUUUUUUUUUUUUUUUGGGAAAACUAGAAAUUUGAAAAUGUGGGAGAGACAACAUAUACAAAUUUUGCUUCCAUACUGUUAAGCGAGAGAUUGUGAUGCAAGCCACAUCUUGUAGUAGUCGAAGGUUUGGAUGAACCAUAUAAAUUGAAUUUGCUUCGAACAGUCUUGAUCAAGAGCGUGUGAAGCUUUCUAUGAGUUGUAGUGUUUGCAUUGUUACAGAGGAGAAAUGUCUGAAGCAGAUGCAAGAGGGCUGAAGAGCUUGAUCUUCGUAUACCAUGCACUGAAGCCAUUGUUGGCUUGCAAUAAGACUUUGUUGGUGACUAUAGCUCUUGUUAGGCAUAAGUGCUCCCUUAGUUGAGUUGUAAAGCUUGAUGGUUUUUGAUUAUUUGUGAAUGCUAGGAGUUCACAUGUACAAGUUGUACCACUCGUCUUCUGGUUAGUGGAAUGAAGGGUGGGUUGCUUUCAUCACUUGGUUGGUGGUACGAAUGUGAAUUCCUUAAUCACCUUUCAUCACAUUUCAUCACCUGGUUGGUGACAUGAAGGAGAGUACGCGUUGUACAUUUCAUCACCUGGUUGGUGGCAUGAAGAUGAGUUCCUUCUUCACCUGAUUGGUGAUAAGGGUGGCAAGUUUCCAAAUAAUAUUAGAGUACGGGUUGUACAUUUCAUCACCUAGUUGGUGGUACGAAGGUGAGUUCCUUCAUCACCUAGUUGGUGAGAAUAAGGGCAAGGUGUCGAGGCACAUUGUGGCAAAUGUCGAAUGACACAAAGUGUGUUGAACCCUUUCGAAGCACAGUUGGCUUAUGUAUGGAUGUGUUGGAAUGUAUGAUGUUUAUGCAUGAAUGUGUUGGAAUGUAUGAUGUUUAUGUAUGAAUGUAUUGGAAUGUAUGAUGUUUAUGUAUGAAUGUGUUGGAAUGUAUGAUGUUUAUCCUUUGUAUAGUCUUGUUGACACAUACUUAGAUUUUGUUUUGUAUUAGAAACAUUUGCGUUGAAGCUUCAACACUUGAGUGUUUCAUUGCUCAGAAUGUAAAAGAGUUUAGGGCCGAGUUGGCUAAAUCACCUUUUUAUUGAAUUCAUACCAAAUGGUUUUGUUACAUAGGAUGCCGAACGGCUGUAGCUUAACACUUGUACAAUGUGAGUCUAUUUGUAAUAGUACUUCAAGUCGUCAGCAUUCCAUGGAUGGCCAAAAGUCUUGCUGUCGGAGCUUCUGAGCUUGUAGGAGCCAGGGCGGCUGAUGCUGACGACCUCGAACGGUCCAUCCCAGUUAGGACUGAGUGUUCCUUCAUUCGGGACUCUAUCACAGAGUAAUCUUUUCUUCAGUACCCAGUCUCCACUUUGAAUGAGCGAGGUUUGACCCUUGAGUCGUAGUAGUUGGAGAUGCGCUGCUUGUAGGCGACAUUCCUCAGAUGAGCCUGAUUUCUAUGUUCCUCGACUAGAUCCAGGUUGAGGGUGAGUUGUUUGUCGUUUUCACUCUGCAUGUAGUUCUGGAUUCGGUAUGUUGCUUGCUCAAGCUCAACCGGGACAACUGCUUCUGUACCAAAAGCAAGUGAGAAUGGAGUUUCUCCUGUGGAAGUCCGAUAUGAAGUGCGGUAUGACCAAAGAACUUGGGGUACGAAUUCUGGCCAACAACCUUUAGCUUUGUCCAAGCUAGUUUUCAGAGUGCGCUUGAUUAUUUUGUUAACGGCCUCGACUUGUCUAUUAGACUGGGGAUGGGCUGGAGAGGCAAAACAUAAGUUGAUGUUAAACUUAGAGCAGAACAUCCUGAAGUUCUUGUUAUCGAAUUGUCACCCAUUGUCCGUGACUAUCGCAUUGGGAAUGCCGAAUCUGCAAAGGAUGUUCUUCCAUACGAAGUCUUCUAUUUUUGCCUCAGUAAUGGUUGCCAAGGGUUCUACUUCAGUCCACUUUGUGAAGUAGCCAACUGCAACGAUUGCAUAGCGGACCUUGCCCUUCCCUGCAGGCAUUGGGCCGAUCAAAUCAAGUCCUCAUUGGGCGAAGGGCCAAGGGCUGAUCAUAGGAGUGAGCGGCUCGGGAGGGGAGUGAGGGAUAGUUGCGUAGCGUUGACACUUAUCACAUGAGCGAGAUAUUCUGAUGGCAUCUUGGUGGAGUGUUGGCCAAUAGUAUCAUUGGCGAAAAGUCUUGUGUGCUAGGGAUCGAGACCCAGCAUGAUCUCCGCAGACUCCUUCAUGUAUUUCCCGAAGGACAAUUUCCGCCUCCGCAGGUGUAAGGCAUCUUAGGUAAGGCAGGGUAAAACCUCGCUUGUAGAGUUGGUCAUUAAUGAUCAGGUAGCGAGCAGACUUGUAUCGAAUCUGCUUAGCUUGGACUUUGUCAUUUGGGAGGGUGCCAUGGGCAAGGAAUUUAUAAAUUGGGGUGAUCCAACUAUCUCCUUGUUGUAAAUUGCACACUUCUGCGACCAUGGUGCUUGGUGCUGCCAACAAUUCGACAUGAAUUUUUCUCCCAAUCUUGUCUUCCACUGCCGAGGCGAGGCGGGCCAAAGCGUCUGCAUGACUAUUUGCCGCUCGAGGAACUUGGGUGAUCUGGUAGUGGAAGUGCUUGAGCAAAAGUCGUGUUUGCGCAAGAUAUGUUGCCAUGGAGCUAUCCUUAGCAUCAAAGUUGUUCGUGACUUGGUUGACCACUGAUUGAAAGUCACUGAAGAUAUCAAUUUGUUUAACUCCAAGAUGCUUGGCCAAACGUAAGCCUGCUAGAAGGGCUUCGUAUUCGGCCUCGUUGUUCGAUGCCUUGAAUUUGAAACGAAGAGCGUAUUCUAUCGCCACUUUGUCAGGGGUAGUGAGGACUAAUCCUGCUCCGCAGCCCUGUUGGUUGGAUGAGCUAUCAACAUACAGACUCCAUGCUGGGGUUGUUGAUUUUGUCUUCUGAGCUUCCGAUGGUAAUGAAGCUAUUGCUUCAGGUGUAGAAGCUAUUGCUUCAGGUGUAGAAGCAAUGUCAACAGGAUAUGUGAAGUCGGCGAUGAAAUCUGCUACUGCUUGACCCUUUUCGGCUGGUUUUGGUUGGUAGGAGAUGUCAAACUCACCCAAUGCUAUUGCCCAUUUGAUCAUUCGCCCAUACGUGUCAGGACUCUAGAGUACCUGUCGAAGAGGGUGAUUGGUAAGCACGAUGAUGGCGUGUGCUUGGAAAUAAGGGCGAAGUUUUCCAGCAGACAUGACCAAUGCUAGAGCUAAUUUCUCAAUGUUGGAAUAUCGUGUCUCCGCAUCUUGUAGGGCCUUGCUAGCAUAGUAGACGGGCCGUUCGACACCACUGUCCUUUCGGAUAAGAACAGAACUGACUGCUGAAGCCGAGACCGAUAGAUAGAUAAUGAGAGUGUCACCAACUUCUGGUUUGGAGAGCAGAGGGGCUUUACUCAUGUACUCUUUGAGGUUCCUGAAUGCCUUGGCACAUUCCUCCGUCCAUGUAAUGUACUUCUUAUUUCCCUUGAGUGCUUUGAAGAAAGGAGCACAUCUGUCUGUGGCCUUAGAGAUGAAUCUGGUUAAGGCUGCCACAUUGCCAGUAAGGCUUUGGAUGUCUUUUGAAGUUACUGGCUCUUUCAUGUCGAGGAUUGCUUUGAUCUUUUCGGGGUUAGCUUCAAUGCCUCGUUGGCUAAUCAUGAAGCCUAAGAAUUUGCCAGAUCCCACGCCGAAGGCACAUUUGUUGGGGUUCAACCUCAUUCGAUACCUCUUUAGAAUGGUGAAAGUUUCAGAUAGGUUGGUGAUGUGUUGGUCAGCAUGUUUGCUUUUGACUAGCAUAUCAUCAACGUAAACUUCCAUGCUCUUCCCAAUCUAUUCGGCAAACAUUGAAUUGACCAGUCUCUGAUAAGUUGCUCCUGCAUUCUUUAGGCCGAAAGGCAUGACUUUGUAGCAAUAUAGUCCCUUGUCAGUAGUGAAGGCUGUGUUCUUGGUCUGAGGGGUUCAUGAGGAUUUGGUUGUAUCCUGAAUAAGCGUCCAUGAAGCUCAAGAGCUCACACCCUGCCGUAAAGUUUAUAAGUCUAUCAAUGAGAGGAAGGGGGAAACUAUCAUUCGGGCAUCCUUUGUUUAGGUCGGUGUAGUCGACACACAUUAUCCACAAGACCUUUUGAAGCAGAAGACUUUCUUUGGUCAGAUUUUUCUUAACAAGGACAACAUUUACUACCCAUGUUGGGUAAUUGACUUCACGGACGAAGCCUAUGUCCUUGAGUUUUUCAACUUCUGCUUUCAUCGCCUCGUAUCGUUCAACAUCAUAAGAUCUUCGCUUCUGUUUUACUGGUUUGGUCUUGGGAUCAAUACUCAAGUGGUGACAGAUGAUAUCGGGAGAGAUGCCCGGCAUAUCUUUAUAUGACCAAGCGAAGACCUCGGCGUUCUCUUGCAAAAAGGAGAUCAGCGACAACCGAAGGGGUGGUGACAAAGUGGUGCCAAUCUUCACCAUGCGAUCUGGAUGGUCUUUGGAGAUAGAGACAUUCUCUAACUCUUCAGCGGGUUGUGCUUGCUGGGUGAAUGAGUCAUCUCGAGGGUCGUCGGGUUGACUGUUGCCAUCAUGAAGAUCCGAGUUGGCUUCAUCUGGACUGGUCUUUACUACCUGGUUAUGUAUAGAGAGGGUCUCCUUGAGGACAUGCAGGUGUUGUUGCUUAACUGAAGUGUUGUAACAUGAUCGAGCACUAAGUUGAUCUCCCAUGAUGUAUCCAUUGCCGAAAGGGGUUGGAAACUUCAUCAACAACAUAUGUGUGGAUACCAUGGCCUUGAGAUCAUUGAUGCCUGUGCGCCCAAAGAUGACAUUAUAUGCCGUCGGGCAAUUGACCACUAGGAAGUUAGUGGUAAUAGUAGCUGUGUAGGGGCCUGUACCAAUGGUGAGGGGUAAGUGUAUACUCCCUAAAGGUUGCACGAUAUCGCCAGAGAAGCUUAUCAGAGGAGAAAUCGAGCGAUCGAGCAAGUGUUCAGCUACAUUAAGUGCCUUGAAAGCUUCAGCAAACAUGAUAUUGACUGAAGCACCUGUGUCUAUCAGGAUUCGUUUCACAUCAAAAUUUGCUAUGUGAGCCUCCACGAUCAGCGGGUCGUUGUGAGGGUAGAUGAUACCUCUUUCUUCCUCAGGGUAGAAACAUAUUGGAUCCCAGUUAGGUUUUUGAUACUUGCCUCCCCUGAUGUCUUCCACGUGAAACACUUGAUGGCCAUGUCUCAAAGUUCGUUCACUGUUUUUCAUGGCCCUAUUGGAAGAUUCAGACAUGGGUGUGCCGCCGCUUAUGGAGUAUAUCACAUUCACCUGGCGUUGGUUACGGUUAUCCCUUGGAGGAUGAAGGAGGAACUGAUCAAUUUUUCCUUCACGUGCCAAAGCUUCGAUAUGAUCAUGGAGGAUGAUGCAUUUCUCGCCGUCAUGGCCAUUAUACGUGGUAGCAGCAAAACACGCUCGUGUUCUUCGUGGACUUGUAAUUUGGCUGUCUUGGCUUUGGCUUUGGUAUCAGGUAAGCUAUACUGGGGUAGAUGGCCGCGCAUGUAGCGUUCAAAGGUGUGUAUGUCUCAUACCUCGGGGUAUGGCCUGUCUUGACACGCGAUUGGCCCACUGCGUUGACUGCAUGGGGAUGGGUGUUAUUGUGACGAUAUACUGAGUUAUCGUGAUAGUGCCCCUUAUUCUUUUUAUUAAAAUGAGAUUGGUGAGGAUGGAAAUCUUUCCUUUUGCCCUGGGAUUGAUAUGUCUGCUGACUUGGCGAAGCAUUAAAUGAGGCCGGGGGGUGUGCUGCUACCGUUUGGAAGGUUGAGGUCUUUUCAUUCGGUUGGAUCUGGCCUCCACUCCUACUUGCUGAUAAGGGGUGACUGUAGGGGGUUUCCCUUGAUAUGUCCUUGCCUCGGCAGAGGCAUGGUUGUAAGCUUGUGCCAUCACUUCAGAGUAAGUCUUCCAAGUGUUGGCAUUGAUCAUGUACUUGAAGAAACAGUCACGUAAGCCUGCCGUGAAGGCCUUGAGGGCGGUCUUGUCAUCUGCCUCAGCGCAGCGGGAAUACUCAUGGCUGAAGCGACCAGCAUACUUUCGUAAUGACUCGUCCGGCUUCUGGUGAAUAGUGUACAAGUCAUCUGCGGAAUGCAAGCGAUCGGUCUAGAAGAUGUGUUGAGAGACAAACAACUUCCUCAACUCUUCAAAUGAGUCUACCGUCUCGGGUAGAAGACGACAAUACAGUUUAAAGCUCCGCCAGAAAGGGUGGAGGGGAAGAGAAGGCACCGUUCUUCAUCGGUGUGUCUCCGGUAUACCAUGGUGGACUCAAAGAGGUUAAUGUGUUCAAUCGGGUCUUCCCUUCCAGUAUAGAGUUGUAAGUCAAGCUUCUGCUUUGUCUUCGCUUGGAGGGGGGUGUUGAGGAUCCUUCUUGUGAGGGGGCCAGGCCUGGGUUGGUUCCAGUCAGGUAUCUCGGCUUGACGUUCAGCCUUCAACUUGUUUACUUCCUCCAGGAGCUGUAGGACGAGGGGGUCCUGAGUGGAGUCGUGCAUCACUGGAGUUUUCUUCCGUAAGUCCCCAUCGCCUCUUGGAAGUAGGAAAGUUUGAUCAAGAUAGCAUGAUUUUUCCUUGGACUCGUCACACUGACUCCUAGAGUGAGUAUGUCGGAACAUUUCCGAGUCCCCUGUACCUUCAUGUUCUUCUGGGACUUGUUGCCCAUUCCCUAGAUUAACUGCUGGCCUGGGUCGUGGGAAAGGACCGAGUCUUUCAGAAACUCUUGGGUCAUUGAUCUUCGAGCUUAUGUGGAUGGGAUUCUCUCGACGUUGCUUUAGGAAGUCUCGACAAUCGCGAUAGACAGCUUUUGAUCCUUCCACUCCUUCUGUGAGGAGGUGCUUUCCUCUACUCUUUCUGCUUCGGGUUGAAGCAGCUGGGUUGAGAGAAGUCUCAUGUUGAUUAUCACAUUGAUGUGUAGCUCGAUCCCUAUCAGGGAUGUCCGUGUUGGAUAUUGGUGACCCUCCGUGUUGGGGGGCAUUCAGAUGAUUGUUGACCUCAGCAGGGGCGACGAGCUUGUGUGCUUGAGCAUGCCUAGCCUCGUGAAGCAUCUCGAAAAGUUUUUCAUACUGCUCCUGGAGGACCUCGUUCCUCAUCACUAUCUUGUUGUUCUGAGCUUCUAACUCAUCGACUUUAGCUUGAAGAGUAACUCUAUUUCCUUCCUGCUUUCGUUGCUUCAUACUAGGUCCAAUGGGGGUGUCAUUCUGUGUGCUAUGGCUUCUUUCGCUCCCCAUGUUGGAGAGAGAUGUUUGGCCAAAAGAAAGUGUACGGGCGGUGGAAACCAGCUUAACAAAGCUGAAGAGAGUGGGAGUAAGUGUCUUUCCCACAGACGGCGCCAAAUGUUGAUGCACAAAAUCAGCGAGGACUUUGGUACAACAGAAAGUGUCAGGUUUGUGACCUUCGCUUGGUUGCUUCGAUCACUAGUGAAGAUAAGUACGUAAAUGAAUAGGGACAGGGAAGCAAACACAAGAUGUACGUGGUUCACCCAGAUUGGCUACGUCCACGGAGUAGAGGAGUUCUCAUUAAUUGUGAAGGGUUUACACAAAUACAUAGGUUCAAGCUCUCAUUUUUUGAGUUCUAGUGAAUAGUUUAGUACAAAAUGACAUUAGAGAUUAUUGUGGGAGAAUGAUCCCUAUUUAUAGAAGAAAGUUUCUAGUUUUGUUCUAACAUUGACACGUGUCGUGUUGUGAUUGGCUUCUGAUGUUGACACGUGUCGCGCUGUGAUUGGCUUCUGAUGUCGACACAUGUCGCAUUGUGAUUGGCCUCCUGGUUGAAGGGAAGCUCUUCUGGGUCCUUGACGUAUAACGUUGACCGGUGGUAGAUGGCCGCGCAUGUUGAUGUGGCAUCUUCUUUGGAAGUACUUUUCCUUCAUCCAUGGGUGGUAUCUUUAACCGAUGAAGAUGCACAAGGUAAUGUAUCAAUUUCACUUGAAGCUUACUUAGAAGUUUCGUGAUUACUCAGUGGCUUGGAUCUUGCAAGUCCCCAACCGAGGAGCUUCCCUCACUCGGGAACUUAGGGGAGCACUGUUUGUACCAUACUUGACCAAUCCCGAAAACUACUGAGCACCGGUCAACGUUAUACGUCAAGGACCCAGAAGAGCUUCCCUUCAACCAGGAGACCAAUCACAAUGCGACACGUGUCGACAUCAGAAGCCAAUCACAGCGCGACACGUGUCAACAUCAGAAGCCAAUCACAACACGACACGUGUCAAUGUUAGAACAAAACUAGAAACUUUCUUCUAUAAAUAGGGAUCAUUCUCCCACAAUAAUCUCUAAUGUCAUUUUGUACUAAACUAUUCACUAGAACUCAAAAAAUGAGAGCUUGAACCUAUGUAUUUGUGUAAACCCUUCACAAUUAAUGAGAACUCCUCUACUCCGUGGACGUAGCCGAUCUGAGUGAACCACGUACAUCUUGUGUUUGCUUCCCUGUCCCUAUUCAUUUACGUACUUAUCUUCACUAGUGAUCGAAGCAACCAAGCGAAGGUCACAAACCUGACACUUUAUGUUGUACCAAAGUCCUCGCUGAUUUUGUGCAUCAACACAAUGUAUGAGAGAAGGAAAUGAAAGAUGAUGUGAAUAAGAGGGGAGAAAAUUCUACUCAUGCUAAAAACAAAAAAUAAUGAUCGACUCUGUAGAUAUUGGCCAAACCAAACAUUAGAUGUGAAAAAUUAGCACUUUGCCGAAUAAUAUUCCGAGUGAGCAAAAUAGAGAAAAAUAUAACAAUGGCACACAGAAAAAAUAUAAAAGUUGAGGAGCCGGGUGAUAUAAUAUUAGACAUUGCAAUUGUAGGCUCGGACGACUCAAGGAGAAAAAGGUUGCUUGCACCACUAUAGGAAAAUUACAAAUCAACAAUGCAGAGGUAACGUGCAUGGUCUUCUCUUCUGCCAUGAAAAAUUCAUGUUGCUUUCAUAUAAUUAACUAAUUAACUAGUUAUUAGUGUUAAUUAUUCUCUAACAUUUCCUUCCUCCAUUGUUUUCUUCUUCUUCAGAUCAAAGUUUCAAUAGUUUUUUUUUAUUUUUUAAAUUCCUUUUACUUUAACAAUAUUAGCGAUUCCAAUUCUACUAGCUAGUUUUAGGUUGUAUUUUAAUUGGCUCGUGUGCUUCUGUUGCAGGACGUGUUUGGGGAAAAAGGAAGGAUACUUGAACAGGCAGGAGCUGUAGCAAAGGUAGCCUCUAUGAAAAAACAUAAUGAACUCUUUGUAACGAAACAACUUCGUUUGACUCGUUUCAUUUAAAUUUUUUGUUUUUCUCAGGUGCAAAGCGACGUGGUUUUGUUAAAAAAAAAAAAAAAACUAAAACGGAGCAACGCCCCACUGCAGAAAACCAAAAUGCAGCACCGCAGCACCAGAGCAGAGGGGUGGAAACCUGGAUUUUGGGAACGAACUCCGGCGACCGAAGGUGCGAACACACCUCCUUGAACCUCUGUGGCUUCGCCAAUGAAGGUCUCGAUAUUAUUUAUGAGGAGUUCAUGAUAAUUACUUUAAAGUGUUAAUAACAAUCCUCUUUCUUAUUCUUAUGCUAGUAGGUCUGGUACUUCCUACAAUCUUAAAAUAUGCAUAAAUUCACUCAUAUAGAAUGGGAAAAUGCCAUACGUUACCAUUUGGAAAUUGGCGAGACAUGAAAAAGUCCUUGAACCUCGCUCCCCCCCGCAAGGCAGGCUUAAACUCGCCCGUGAUGAGAAGACAUGUCUUUUGUGAAUGACAGGAAAUAGGACAAAACCAUCCCUUCUCUUUUUUGUUAGUAAAAGCAUCCCAUGCUUUCUAUCUCUUCAUUCCACUGACUAUUUCGAACACAAAACAUCAAUACAAGUAUUAGUAAAAUGAAAACUUCUUUCUUUUAUUCAAUAAUUAUUAUGGGUUGUGUUUAUUGAUCAACCUGUAAGUAGAUAAAACACUAAUAAUACAAUUAGUUAGGUAAAAAAAAUCAGUUUUUUUUUCAAGUUUCUCAACUAACCGGGACCUAAGUAUUCCCUUGGCGUUCUUACACCAACAAAGAAACAACAACGAAACACACAGGAACACAAAAAUUGGGGACCUCUUUUUAUCUACUUGCCCACCAUCACAAAUAUUACCUUUUUUUUCUUGUAUGGUUUGGUGGUAGGGAACGAAACCUAGCUACAUUCACUUCUUCUGAUUUGCAGUUGACUCUGGUUUUUACAUGAGUAUAUACUGAAGCUCGAUGGACCCCAGGCUAUAUAAUAUUCGAAAAUAGUCAUUCCUUAUUUGUCCGUCAAUCACAAUAUAUAUAAUCAAUUUGAUGAGUAAUUUUGCGUACAUGUAAAGUGUACGUACAAUCCUACAGAGAAUAUUUACAUUAGUUAUAAGGCCUCAGCAUUUGAUAUAACUAAAAGGCAACCUGUAUCAACUCAUUCUUCGAGUCAAGAAUAUCUGAGCUUCUUAGAGGGGGAAUAUAGGCUCUAAAACCAUGUCUUGGUUUUUUACAGUUCUCUUUCUUGUUACUGCUCUUACAUUUCAUACUCCUUCAGAGGCUAGCCAUGAGAAGAACGAUCCUUCUGCAGUUGUUGUAGGCACUGUCUACUGUGACACAUGUUUCCAAGAGGAUUUCUCACAUACCAGCCAUUUCAUUUCAGGUAAAUUCAUCUCAAAAUUUCAACAAGUUCUUCAUCAAAUUUAUUUUUAUAUUGUAGUCUGACUAUAAAAUAGACGUCCGUUCAAUGAUUUCCGUACACCUUCUCCUCCAUACACUCAUGUUUAUUUUGUAAUCUUUAAAUUCAAAUGAAUCAAAGAAAAUCAAAAGAAAGGAAUAAAAAGGGUACAAAAUGAAAAAAAAGAAAGUAAAAUCCAAGAAAAUGACUGAAAACCUAUAUGUAAGUAUUUCCUAUAUAUGAGUCAACUAUACAACUACGAAAAGUAUAUAACAAAUCAAUUUCAAAAAAAUCUCGCCUAACUCCUUGGCGGUAAGACUCUGCAUUCAAUCACGAUUUCUUUCCAACAGACAACGAGUGGUAGGGAUAUUAUUUCUCUUGAAGAAAAGUUGGAGGAUAUGUCAUUUGUAUGUGUUGAUAUCAUUGUCGCCAAGUAUGCAUGUCAUCAGUAACUUUAAAUGAUUUAUCCCCAUACAAAGUAUAAUAGUUGAUCUAAAUGAUUUAUCCCCAUACAAAGUAUAAUAGUUGGUCUAAACCCUAAUUCCAUAAAGGACCAUACUGUUUAAAUGAAAUAAUUGCUCGGUUCCAUUUUACCCCUACAUUUUCUGCUUUUGUUUCGUUGCAAGAGUUUAACUUGUUAUUUGGAAUAUAUUGUUCACAGAAAGCACUUGUUCAGCAAUUUUUGGCUACUGAAGAUGCACUGAACAAAGCUGCAGAAGCGAGGGAUCUAUGUCAAAAACUUAUAAAACGCUUGCAUGGCAAUAGUGAUGUAAUUUCUUCAGGAACAUCACAAAAUGUGGGCAGUCUUAGGCAACUUGAGGUAAAUCUUCCUUGCAUAUUAAAAGUAUUAACUACCAAUAGUUUGGGUGGAAAUAGCACCAUGGGUGACAGGUUUGAUUAGUUUCAGUCUUUUGAUCGUUUCCAUAGUUGUAUACUGUAUACUAGGUUACUUUUAGCCUGCACUGUGUUCUCAUCUGAUUUUUUACAGUCUUCCAUUUGCUUUGUGUAGAUGGAGGUUUGGGCUAAGGAAAGAGAAGUUGCUGGCUUGAGGGCUAGCUUGAAUACACUGAUGUCUGAAAUACAACGCUUAAAUAAAUUAUGUGCGGAAAGGAAAGAAGCUGAAGAUUCUUUGAAAAAGAAGUGGAAGAAGAUUGAAGAAUUUGAUUACCGCAGAUCAGAACUUGAAAUCAUAUAUACCACAUUACUAAAAGUUAACAUGGUAAGGAUCUCAGCUUCAAUAGUGCUUAUAAAUUUACUAGUCACUUCAUAUACUGGCAUUGUAUAAGCCAUGUCUGGUCAUUCCAUGAAGUGUCGGCUCCUUUUCUUUAAGUUCCAGGCAAAAGUUCAUAUAUAUAAUAUAAAAUUCAAGACAAAUUUUCUAGCAGCCCAACGAGUAGAUGGACUCUUUUUUUUUUUUAAAUGAAAUCCACGGUCUCCUCUUUAGAUGCCCAAAGACCCUAUUUAUGGUUAUAGGUCUGGGGUUAACUCACCAGGAGACUUCAAUUUCCCUGGAACUUAUGCAAAUGAUAUCACCAAUUGCAUAGUUUUCAUUUGUUAUUCGUAUCAUAUGGUAGAAUAUUUCAAUAGAGGCAGCUAGGAUAAUGCUUAUCCAUCUCUUUGUCUUCUGUCGGGAAUAUUUUCUAAUGUUAUUUUUGUCUUGGUACAUGGUAGGAUGCUGCUGCCUUCUGGAAUCAGCAGCCAUUAGCCGCACGGGAGUAUGCAUCAAGCACAAUUAUUCCUGCAUGCACAGUAGUCAUGGAUCUUUCAAAUAGUGAAAAACAUCUUAUUGAAAGAGAAGUUUCUGCUUUUGACCAAAGUCCUGAUAAUAGCCUCUACAUGAUUCCAGCAAUUCCACAGGUUUGUGUUGGGGCUUAAAAAGACUUCACUACUUUGGAGAUGUUUAUCUCAUAAAGAAGAAUGUAACGCAGCGGAAUUGAUAGCCAAGAAAAAAGAAAGAACACUCAGAGUAUUACACAAAAUUUUUAUUCUCACACAAACUUAGUACAAGAGGAAACACUCAAACACUCUUACACUUCUUCACUCUUUUUCUCGCUUCUUGCUUUCUUACUGACUCUCACUUCUUCUUGCUUCUUUGUUACACAACACCACACACCUAUUUAAAGGUGGUGUUCCCCGACUAUCCUUGUUACCACCGACUUGAGCAUUGCAGCAAUGACCACAUGAUUUGCCGCCUCUAGAUCUUUCUUUAACUUGGAUAUUUUAGGUGAUAACCAUUUGAAAUUGCUGAAAUUUUCCAGCUAUAUUAUCGACAUAGAUUGCUAGCAUUUGCACACAUUUGCUUUGGGUUAGAUCACUUGUCUUGGGCCAAAGACAAGAUUACCUUUUAACAUCCUCCCUUAAUCUUGUCUUGUGACGCCGAUUGAGUUCCUCAGUCUAACAAAGUCUUCUUGUUUGAGUGGCUUGAUGAAUAUGUCAGCGACUUGGUCUUGAGACUUCACGGAUUCCACUUGCACAUCCUUUCUUGCAAUGCACUCUCUUAUGUAGUGAUAACGAGUAUCUAUGUGCUUGCUCCUGUCAUGGAACACCAGAUUCUUUGCUAGAGCUAUUACAGACUUGUUGUCGACAUUGAUCUCUGUUGGCUCUUCUUGUGGCCUGCUUAAUUCUUUCAGCACGUUUCUCAGCCAAAUUGCAUGACAGAUACAUGCGGUAGCAGCUAUAUAUUCAACUUCACAGGCAGACAGUGUGACAAUUGGUUGCUUCUUCAACAUCCAUGUGAAUGCAGUGUCUCCCAUGAAGAACACAAAUCCAGUAAUGUUUUUUCUAUCGUCGGAAUCUCCUGCCGAAUCACUGUCGCUAUAUCCAACAAGCUUGUAGUUAUUAGAGCUUGAAUAGAACAAGCCAAAGUUAAUAGUACCUUUAAGGUAUCAAAGAAUUCUUUUGGCGGUCUUCAAAUGUGUACUUAUGGGAUUCUCCAUGUAUCGACUAACUAAUCUGACGACAUAGAGAAUAUCUGGUCUUGUGCAAGCCAAUAGUGCAAGCUUCUAACUAGACUUUUGAAAAAUGUUGGAUCUACGCUUUCUCCUUUGUCAUGCUUGGUUAGUUUGACUCCGCACUUCAUUGGCGUGCUUAUGGGCUUGCAGUCUUCCAUUUUGAACUUUUUCAAUACCUCAUUUUGUAGCUUUCUUGGGAGAUGAAAAUGCCUUCUUCGUUUUGCUUAACUUCAAUGCCUAGGUAGUAUGUCAUCAGCCCGAUGUCGGUUAUCUCGAAUUCUUUGGUCAUCACUCUCUUGAACUCUUCAAACAUACUUGGAUUACUCACGGUGAAGAUUAGAUCAUCCACAUAUAAGCACACAAUCAAAAUGUCUCCAUCUUUGACUUUGAGAGCAUGUUCAUGAGGGCACUUGAUGAAGUUGUUCUCCUGAAAGUACUUGUCGAUGUGACUAUUCCAUGCUCGUGGCAUUUAUUUUAACCCAUAGAGGACUUUCUUCAACUUCAGAACUUUGUCUUCAUGCCCUUUGAUUUCAUAACCUGAUGGUUGCUGAAUGUAGACUUCUUCUUCAAGGACUCCAUUUAGGAAAGCGGACUUCACAACCAUUUGUUGAAUCUUCCAUUUGUUUUGAGCUGCCAAAGAAAUUAGUAAUUGUAUCGUUUCCUAAUGAGCAACGGGUGUAAAUACUUCAUUAUAAUCGAUUCUGGCUGUUUGACUAUAACAUUUCGCCACUAGUCUCGCCUUGUGUCUUUCGACCUCUCCAUUGGCAUUUUUCUUUGUUUUGUACACCCACUUGACUCCGAUGGCUUUAUGUCAUUUCGGAAGAAUAGUGAGUUCCCAUGUAUCAUUUUUUUGAAUUGCUUUGAUUUCUUCAUCCAUUGCUUUCCUCCAUUUAGUAUCCUGCACUGCUUCUUAGAAGUUGACUAGUUCACAAUCAGCAAAGAGACAGAAAAAUGUAGGAUUAUCAAGUCUUUUAGCCACCUCAUAGAGAUCUUGUAGACUUCUUGUGUGUGGUACUUCUGUUUCAUUUAGACUCCCACUUGACGAUGCUGAUGCUGGUAAAUUGCCAUGAUUGGUUGAUGUUGGUGAAGCAGGUAGAGUAGUGGAUUCUUGUUGAUCUUCUCUUGCUUGCUCCAUUAUUGUUUGUUCAUUAUCUUCUUCAAAUUGAGGAAAGAAGUGAAGAUCACCUGCAUGCAAGCCAAAAUCCCAUUCUCUUUCUUUAUUGAACGUCACUUCUCGACUAAUCACCGUCUUCCCAUUGUUCGAAGUAUACAGUUUAUAGCCUUUUGAAUUUGUGUCAUAGUUGAUGAAGAUGAACUUCUCACUUUUGUCGUCAAGUUUGGUGCUCCUCUUGUCUGGUACAUGUACAUGGGCUAUGCUUCCAAAAACUGUUAGAUGAAAGAUACCUGGCUUUCUUCCACUCCAUGCUUCUUGCGGAGUCCUUCCCUACACACUCUUUGUUGGAGACCGAUUGGAUAGGUAGACAACAUAUGUUACAGCUUCUGCCCACAAUUCCUUAGGCAAUCUCUAGCUUUUGAGCGUGCUUCGAGCCAUGUCGAGGGAUAGUUCGAUCUUUUCUUUCCGCCACACUAUUUUGUUGAGGGGAUCUUGGAACUAUCAAAGGUCAACGAAUUCCAUUUGCUUCACAAAACUCUUGAAAUUCAUUCGAAGUGAAUUCUCCUUCUCGAUCAGAUCUCAUGGCUUUGAUCUUGCAACCACUCUACUUUUCUACAACGGCUUUGAACUUCUUGAAUGCUCCAAAGACUUCUGAUUUCUGCUUCAAGAAAUACACCCAGGUUUUCCUUGAAAAAUCAUCAAUGAAGAGAAGGAAAUAAUUAUUUUUAGCCCAUGGAACACAAAAUUAUAACUUUUUGGACAACAAUACCCUUCUCUUUUUCAUUAAUUUCACUUCGAAAAUUAAACAAAAUUAAUCAAAAUUCCAGAGAUCUCUCAAUUUCUGCACAAUUAGCAUAAAAUAUUCAUUAAAAAUCAAAAUUUACCUCAACAAAUCAACUCAAAAACUAAGUUCUCUUGUUUUUCCAGGAAAUCAAGCUUAUUUGAUCGCACUUCAAAUUUUUUGGGAAACUGAGUGACAAAAACCCAACAAAAAGAAAUUUUCUCUAUGUUUGAUUUCUAUAUUCAAAGAAGAAAAACAGCAAAAUGAAGAAAAUCCAGAUCAGAUAAAGCAUUCUUGAGAAAGCCAAAGAGAGGAAAUUUUCUGGGGAAACAAACAUGAAGAACAGAAGGGUACCGGGGAAAGCCGAUGAAAGGAAGUGGCUGAUGCCGUCGCUCGAGGGAUGGGACAGCGAGGAUUAGGUGGAAGAUGUGAGGGAUGACGUUGAACUCGUAGGCGGUGGCUCAGGUAAGGUCGAACUCGUCGGAGUGGAUGGGUACGAUUGUCAUUUAAUCUUUCGUUCCAUUUCAGCUUGAACAUACACCAAAUGUAGCAUGGAACCUCCGUUCCGUCCUGUUUCGUCCAGUCUGUGUACUAAACGGUACCUUAUUGAAUGAAAGGAAAAGGCUUCUGCUUGGCUUAAUACCACUUUAGUCCAAUUGUCUUCUUGUUCUAGAAAUUGACAACUCUAUGUGAUGAAAAAACAUCUCAUGCUUAUUGUACGGAUGAAAAGUGCUGCUUUACACUAUUACAUUUAAAGUGAUUAGAAAUUCCGUGAAAAUUUAUAUUAUCUCAUUGCAUUGAUGAACGGGUGAGAUAUAGAGAAACAAAAUUUUAUACUUUCAUCUACUACAUUGAUGCUUAGGCGCACCGAAAGUCACCCAAAACCCUAAAAUUCUCCUCAUGAAUUAUGUGUCUAAUAUUUUUCAGAAGUUGUUAUCAGCACUUGCAAACAGUUUUUUAUGCAUGUCGGUCUGGAAGUUAUCUAUGAGGGGUCAUGAUAAUUAUUUUAAAAUGUUAGUAACAGUUAUCUUUUCUUAUUCUCGGUAGGCGGCUACCUCCCCCACACAGCAGCCCUAAACUCGCCCGUGAUGAGAAGACAUGACAUGUCUUUUGCGAAUGACAGGGAAUUGGACAAAACCAUCCCAUCUUUGUUUCAAUAAUUAUUAUGAAUUAUCGUAUACCGAUUAAUCUGUAAGCAGAUGAGAUAGCUACUCAUUUUCACCAUAAAAGGAAAACAUUUCAUCACAAGAUUGCAGUGCGGACAGAGAGGGUUGUGGUUGUCGUAGAUAAACCUAGGUUUCGUCACAAAACAGGAAAUUGAAUUAAGAACAAAACAAACAGAUUGUGGGUAGGAAAAGACAGAUUUUUUAGUGUGUUGAGAACACUGUUUGGUACACCAAGUAUAAUAAUACAAUUGGUUGGAAACUUGUUAAAAAAAAAAAUUUCCAACUAUUUAUAUCAUAUGGUGUAUUAGACCGUGUUCCCGAUAUCAACGAGAUUUGGAUGUCAUGCAUACAAAUAAAGCCCCUUAUUACUGUCACAUUAUUAUGUCUUGAUAAGAUCUUUAUUUAUUCCCUGCAAGUACCAUAUGAGAAAUGCUAAAGAGACUCUCUAUGGAUUCUCUGUUUGUCACUUCAUGUUUUUGACAUAAUAUUUUAUAAUGUUAGCACCAUAAUUGACUGUAAACUGUAAGGUAAUAUAGAGUAUAUGAAGAGUUCCACUUUAAGAGUGUCUCCUUAGCAUUUCUCAUACCAUAUUCUGACACCAUAGAAAGUAGCCAUUUUUUAUUGUAAGUUUUAGUUUUCACACGUAUUUAUGUUAUGCGAGACAACCGCAAAUAAAUCUUUUUGUAUAUACAACUUUUAUCAAGUUUAAGAGUUAUAAUUAAGAUAUUCCCGGUUGUAUAUAUUUAUAUGUUUUUAGUCAGUAUAAUUGGAGCUCAUCAUUAGUGUGUACGUGAUAGAUAUCCUCGGUUACACGGCAGAAUCUCACAGGAAUGUCAUAGCCAAUAAACUAGGCUCCUAUGCAUCAAUUUUUUAUGUGUGAAGAGAAAACACGAAUAAAUACAUGCAACAAUCUAUUGUUGCUGAUUGUGUACAACUUCAGACUCAUGAAAUUUGUAGCCACUCUACAUAUCUCGUGUGUAAAGUGGUACAUCAAAUGUGUCGAACUUGAUACAUCAAGUGUCAUAAUGCAAUUAAUUAAAAAACAAGAUUUCAAAUCUUUAUUUUCAAGUUUCACAUCUAACAGGGACCCAAUUAUUCUCUUUGGGACUUUUACAGCAACAAAGAAACAACCUCAAUCUACUUGCCCACCAUCCCAUACCUUUUUUUUUUCUUGUCUGGUUUGGUGGUAGGGAAUGAAACUUAUCUACGUUCACUUCUUCUGGUUUGCAGUUGACUGGUUUUUCCAUUAGUGUAAAAACGAAGCUUCAUGGACUGAUGCAGUACAUGGGGAACAAAUAUAUUUAAGGUUUUAGUGACUUCUUAUCUCUUAAAAGCCUUUGUGACCUUUCUUUUAAUUGAAUUGCCUAGUAACUAUCCUACUCUUAAAUAUUUAGUAUACCAAUGUUUGUAAUUUCCCUAUUUAAAGGGCUCCAUAUGUAUCCUUAAAGUGGUGAAAUUAGUGAAUUAAAGUUAAUCUAAGAAGAGAGUGGGCUUUCUCCUCAAAAUCAAGUGUGAGAUUUGGUUGUGUCGAGUGAAUCCACGAUUAGUGACGUGAGUGAAUCCGUUGCCCCUGGUCGAGUGAUUCCCAGGUUCUAUCCCUGUAGAGACGUGAGUGAUUCCGUCCCCCCUAGUUGAGCGAUUCCCAGGUUACUACCCCUUGUCUUUUCGAGACCCAUGGUUUUUUCUGCAUCAAGUGGCAUCAAAUAGAGAUGGCAAUUCAAACCGUUAAACUCGAUAACCGUGUAUAACCGCCUGAGAGAGGAUUUGGGUAUGAAAAUUUGGGUAUAUUAUGGAAAUGGGGAAAAAACGUGAACUUUAAUCGGUUAUGGUUUUGUAUAUGAUUAUAAGGGUCCCCAAUCCAUAUCCGUCCCCAAAUCCGAAUCCGAACCGAAUAAUAUAUAAUAUUAUUUGGUUUAUGUAAUAUAUAUAUAUAUAUAUUGUAUUUGAGUGAAGCUAUACCAUCAUUACCAUAUUCAUUAUUCGCUGCAUAAUGUAUUUAGUAUAUUAUUCGCCGCAUAAUGUAUUACAAAAUUCAUUUAUUGUUAUUGUGGAGCCAAAAAUAAUCAUAGGGCAACACAUGGAUUUUGGUAAAAAGGACAAAGUUACUCCUGAGACACACCGGUUCUCCUACGCCUGAGCAGUGGACAGUCAUUCUUUAAUCAAGCCAAGAGUGUCCAAAAAAGGUAACCAAUUCCAAAUUAUCUCAUCCAUCCUCAUCUUAGGUAAUUACUUCAUAACCUACAAAUUAUUCCAUAUACAUAGAGAUUAAUUGGCUAAUUAAUGGAUUAAUUCCUAAUUAAUCCAUUAAUCACCAAUUAAAUCACCCAUUUUCACACCUAAAACCUCUAAGGCCCGGCCACCUCCAUUCCCUAUAUAUAUGACCCUAUUUUUUCUAAAAAAAGGGUUCCACACUCUUGCAAAACUCCCAAAAACUCUCCAAAAACUUUUAUCUCUAAAUUCUAACUUUGGCAUCGGAGGUUCUUCGGCCAAAGCCUCCCAUUCAUUGUGGGCGGGUGAGGCUCUUGGCCUUGACCUAAGGUGUUAAUUGUUUUGUAGGUUCAAUUUUGUCAGGUGCAAUUUUGUCCAAGAAGAAGAAGGCGGAAAUUUGCAUUCAUAAAUUGGUGUUUUCAUUGAGAGAUGAGUACCACACUCGUAGAAGACUCUCGCAUCCAAGGUUUUCUAUUUUCUUGUCCAUUUGUAGAUUUUUCGUACGUUCUUAUUAUUAGAAUUUUUUAUUUGCAAAAAUUCUUUGAUAAAACGUAAAAGAGAAGUACAAUGGCUAGAAAUUUAAAAAAUUCAACAAAUGAAAAUUUCAACAUUUAAGAGAUGGGACCACGGCGAUUCACGAGGCUAAAUGUGACAAUAAGUGGAGCAGCACCACAACCACAAGUUUCCUCCAUGGGAACCACCGUGGUGGCUGCCUCGGUAGCCACUCGCGGUGAGGUCCAUGGCACCAUUACCGCGGCGAGGUCUAUGGCACCAUUACCACGGCCUGAGUCGUGCCAUUAAAGCAAUCCCAAUACAUGUCACUUCAAGCCCAAUGUGUUGCCAAGCCGAGCCCUAGCCUCGCACCCACAUACGCCACACGCCGAGCAGCCUACUCACGUGGCCCAGCCUGCCCCCAUGGCCGAGCCUGCUCCCGCCGAGUAGCCUACUCCUGUGGCACAACAUGCUCUAUCUAAGCAGCCCAUUCUCGUGGCACAGCCUGCUCCCUUUGAGCAUCUCAUUCUCGUGGCCCAACCUGCUCUCGCAGCUCUGCUUGCUCCCAUAACCCUGCCUGCUCCCAUGAUUUCCCAAGCAGCCCAAGUCGGCUCGAGAAUAUCUCGACCAUCCAGAGCAACCAUCAAGCCGGGGGCAUUUUUACCAUAUUUCUCCACAGAUUUGACAUUUCCCAACUCAAAUCUCAUGCCUAGAGUGUUCCAUACUUCCACUGCUUAAUGAGGCACAUUCUUUCUAAGCUCUUCCAAUCUAAAUGGCGAACAACACUUGUCUCGACAAGUCAUAAAGUUGACGAGCUCCCUUGCACAACAGACGACCUUGAUGAAUCAACUUUUGCAAUGCACCGAGAUCUAACGUGCCUUGGACAAGGUAUCCCUAAGUAGGACAAGGGUAGACGAAUCUUUCCAGCAGCAUCCCGGUAAGCAGCUACUCGACCAGCCACGAGCCGAGCGUUCGGGUAGUGUACAUUUCUGAUUAGGCCCCCAAGAUAGCAUAUACUUCCAUCUUAUAGCACGGAGGAGCGUGCACUCUCGACUAGGCCUGAGGAUAAGUAUACACUCACGAUUGGGGCUACACUUAGAUAAUCAACAUGAGCAGCCUUCCAGGCAAUGCAUUCAUUCGCAGCUAGGCCCGUAAAGAAUAUCAUCCACAUCAUAUCGGAGCAGACAACACAGCAGACGGAAAGAAGCAGUCACUCAAUCCGGCUCAAGUUCAACCAGUAGCCUGUGAGUUACACACUCGCCUGCUAGGAAUAUACCACACCCACCGUAGCCGCGGCAUAGACAAGCCGAACAUAUGGAAGAACAGCUUAGACUAUCACAUCACGAUCAGGGGCAAUCAAGAGCUCUGCCACCCCAACAAAGGAAAAUUCAGGAAGAAGUAGAAAGGCUCCUGACCAAGCGAUUGCGCAAUUUCUCGCGCCAACCAAAGCCUCAAAAGGGCACAAGAUGAAACACCUAAUGAUGGCGCAAUAAUUCAGAGAGCAGCUCAUUGCGUUUACACCUUAACGUGGGUUCCACAAACAGUUCACCAAACAAGACCUCGCAGUCUGAAGAUUAUUUCAGUUGUCUAGCAGUCCAGCUUUCCUCAGCUGCACUCACGACAACGACUUCCAUGAUUUCCAGUGCGAAAGGAUAAACUAAUUGCUCUCCAGUGCGAGAGGGUAAACCAAUUCCCCGACACCCAUAUGGGUUUGCUCUCCAAUGCAAGAAGAUAAACUAAUUGCUCUCCAGUGCGAGAAGGUAAACCAAUUCCUUGACACUCGUAUGGGUUUGCUCUCCAGUGCGAGAGGAUAAACUAAUUGCUCUCCAGUGUGAGAGGGUAAACCAAUUCCUUGACAUUCAUAUAUGUUUGCUUUCCUGUGCGAGAGGAUAAACUAAUUGCUCUCCAGUGCAAGAGGGUAAACUAAUUGCUCUCUAAUGCGAUAGGGUAAACUAAAUCCCUGACAGCCAUUUGGGUAAGCUCUCCAGUGCGAGAAGGCUGCAUAGUUUAAAAGAUCAAAUGCUUGAAGAUCAACUAAGCAACAAAUGGUUAGGGGGCAGCAGCCACUUUUACACUUAAUAGUUCGCUCAUCCGACACUUCAUUUUCAGAAACUCUGAUCUUGGCAGCUUUAUCCUUGACUGCUCCAUCUAUGGCAGUUGAAAAAUCAAACUUAAGCAGUUUCCUCAUAUUUAGCAGGCAGCCCAAACAAUUGCCUAUUCCACGCCACUUCCUCGGCCCAUGUCGAACCAAUCAUUGGCUUCAAUCCAGCCGAGUUGCUCAAGCAAUGGCCCCUGCCACAUCACCUCCUUGGCUCAUGCUAAGCCGACUCUUGGCCCCUGCCAGCUGAUGUGUCGUACCACCCUGAUUACUGCCCUGUGGCAGCACCACCCAAGAAGAAGACAAGAAGAAAUUAAGUUUUUAUUACAUUGGUGCGGCAUAGAGAAGACGAAGAAAGCAACAAAAGACGGUCAUUUGCAUGGGCAAGAUGUAGAAGAUUGCUAAAUGAGGGGGAACAAAUAUCCUCUAAACUCUCUCUCUCUCUUGUAAGGUAGAAUAAAUCACUCUCCAAAGUUGAUUUAAUAACCCACUUAAGGUGGACUUAAAUAGGUUUUGAGAGAAAUUUAUUUCCCUUUCCUAGAAUGAUCUAAUUUCAUAUUAAAGAGGGAUUCUACAUCAAAACAGGAAGCGGUUCUAAGUUUCCUAGAGCAAAAAGAUCUUUACACCUGCUGCCCUUUCUUACGAGUAGCCCAACAGGUGUGGGGGCAUUUGUGGAGCAAAAAAUUAUCACAAGGCAACACGUGGAUUUUUGGUAAAAAGGACAAAGUUACCCCUGAGACACACCGGUUAUCCUACGCGCAAGCAGUGGACAAUCAUUCUUUAAUCAAGCCAAGAGUGUCCAAAAAGGGUAACCAAUUCCAAAUUAUCUCAUCCAUCCUCAUCAUAGGUAAUUACUUCAUAACCUACAAAUUAUUCCAUAUAAAUGGAGAUUAAUUGGCUAAUUAAUGGAUUAAUUCCUAAUUAAUCCAUUAAUCACCAAUUAAAUCACCCAUUUUCACACAAAAAACCUUUAAGGGCCGGCCACCACCAUUCCCUAUAUAUAUGACCCUAUUUUUUUUCUAAAAAAGGGGUUCCACACUCUUGCAAAACUCCCAAAAACUCUCCAAAUACUUUUCUCUCUAAAUUCUAACUUUGGUAUCGGAGGUUCUUCGGCCAAAGCCCCCCCCAUUCAUCGUGGGCGUGUGAGGCCCUUGGCCUUGACCUAAGGUGUUAAUUGUUUUGUAGGUGCAAUUUUGUCCAAUAAGAAAAAGGUGGAAAUUUGCAUCCACAUUUAUGUUUUAUUUAUUUAUUAUUAAACGUGGCUAUUUAAUGACAAAAUUAGUAUUCACUAAAUUAUUGUGCGCCAAUUGGAUGAAUAUAAUUUUUUGUUGUUGACGAAGAUGGAUAUAACCAUUAAUUGAUAGGAAAUCCGUUACCCGGUGGGUAUGGUUAUGGAUAAUUCCCGAUAGUUAUUUUGCAGUUAUGGAUAUGGUUAAUUAUCAUGGUUAUGGAAUAGAUAUAAGAUUUCCGUCCCCAAAUUGAACCGUUGCCAUCCCUAGCAUCAGUGCAGGUUUUCUGCUAUGGAGUUAAAAGGAAAAAAAAAAUCAUGUUGUUGAUUCUACACUUCUCUUCAAAUUUCAGUUCUCUUUGUCCUAAUCACCCAAAAGGUUACCUAUAAUUGGAAAGGUCUGCGAGUCCACUUUCUAACAGAACAGACAGUGCCUCAAUCAAAAUUUUUUUUGCAGCAAUUUGCUAGCAAAUAGUGUAAGGUGUAUGUUUUGUGCAAAAUCUGCAAGGCGCAGUUUCGUUUUCAACGAAGAGAUAUACCAGCAUCUUGUUCCAAUGAAUAAUAAUCAGGUAUAUGAAAACCACUCUAGUAUGAUAUUUAUCGAGGAAGAUCUGUUUUAUUCACAAAGAAUUGAUUGGAAUUUACCUCCACUAUAUGAUGAGUAUUCGGAGGAUGGUGUUUUGAUGAUUCCUAUCCAAACAGGUGCUAACGUUGAAGUGAAUGUUGAAGAACAUGCUUUGAUAGAUAUUUGCAGCUUGGAAAGUUCAGAAUAUGAAGGAUUUGGAUUUUUUCAAGAUGAGAAGAUUGAUAGUCCAAUGUUAAGUUCAUCAAUAAGCUACGGGCAUGUAAAAUUGUGGUCACGGCCAAGUGAUGAAGGAGCUGUUCAAAUUUGCUUUUUAAUUCUCCAGCACAUUGUUAAAGAUCAAGUUUUGGGGACAUUACAACCGAUGGCAUAUCGUUGGGAAGGUCGAAAACCUAAAUUCAAAUUAAGAUUAAAAAGAUACAAACUCGAGGACGAGUUUUUUUCGAGAAGAGUAGAAUCAUGCAGUGCAUGGGGAACAAAUAUAUUUAAGGCUUUAGUGACUUGUCAUCUCUCAAAACCUUUGUGACCUUAUCUUUUGAUUGAAUUGCCUAGUAACUAUCCUACUAUUAAAUAUUUUGUAUACCAAUGCUUUGUAAUUUCCCUAUUUAAAGGGCUCCAAAUGUAUCUUUAAGGUAGUCAAUUAGUGAAUUAAAAAUAAUCCAAGAAGAGAGAGAGUUUUCUCCUUCCUUAAAAUCCAGUGUGAGACUUGGUCGUAUCGAGAAGAAGAAAAUGAUGCAAUGCAUGGAGAACAAACACAUUUAAGGCUUCGUGGUUUCUCAUCUUCCAAAACUUUCUGUCACCUUCUCUUUUAUGAGUUGCCUGCCUAGUAACGAUCCUAUUAUUAAAUAUUUAAUCUACCAAUGCUUUGUAAUCUCCCUAUUUAAGGGCUCCAAAUGUAUCUUUAAGGUAGUCAAUUAGUGAAUUAAAACUAAUCCAAGAAGAGAGUGAGUUUUCUCAUUCCUUAAAAUCAAGUGUGAGACUUGGUCGUGUCGAGUGAAUCCACGGUUAGCGACAUGAGUAAUUAUGUUGCCCCUAGUCGAGUGAUUCCCAGGUUCUACCCAUAGAGAAGUCGAGUGAAUCCAUUGCCAUUGGUUAAGUGAUUUCCAGUUACCCCUUGUCUUUUCGAGACCCUUGGUCUUUUCUACGUCAAGUGGCAUCAUAGUAGGUUUUUCGCUGCAGUUAAAGAUCAUGGCUAUGAUUAUCAAUCCGUUUCAAGAUCACAUCGUUGAAGAGAUUAGUUUUGUCAAUUGAAAUUCUCCGCCAAUUUAUGACAAAUAUGUUGAUGACGAUGAGUUUACUGUUGAUGUGGCUCAUCAAGGAGUUUAUCUGCUGCUAGGAGAUGAAGGCUUUGUGGAUUGGGGUUAUCCACAUAAUAUGAGUACAAUGGCGGAAACAUUUUACAUGUAGCUUCAUAAAGAGGAACUAAGGUGUACUUGCUUUGGAAUAACAUGGAAGCGGAGUUCAAAGGAAUAUUUUGUGUGACAGAACAACUUGGACUGCUCUGGAUUUGCUUUUGCUAUUGUGGCUGUUGUGGAAAAAAAUUGAAAGGUAUCCAAAAGAUCGAGGAAAACAAAAUCAAAGGAAACUCGAGGACGAGUUUUUGUUCGAGAAGAGGAAAAUGAUGCAGUGCAUGGAGAACAAAUAUAUUUAAGGUUUUCGUGGCUUCUCAUCUCCCAAAACCUUUGUGACCCUCCCUUUUAAUUGAAUUGCCUAAGUAACUAUCCUACUCUUAAAUAUUUAGUAUACCAAUGCUUUGUAAUUUCCCUAUUUAAAGGGCUCCAUAUGUAUCCUUAAAGUAGUGAAAUUAGUGAAUUAAAGUUAAUCUAAGAAGAGAGUGAGUUUUUUCCUCCUUAAAAUCAAGUGUGAGACUUGGUUGUGUCGGAUGAAUACACGAUGAACGACGUGAGUGAAUUCGUUGCCCCUAGUCGAGUGAUUCCCAAGUUUUAUUCCCAUAGAGACGUAAGUGAUUCCGUCCCCUCUGGAUGAAUGAUUCUCAGAUUACUACCCCUUUAUCUUUUCGAGACCCUUGGUCUUUUUGCAUCAUGGACCCCAAGUUAUAAUAUUCCUAAAAUAGUCAUUCCAAUUUGUCUUGUCAAUCACAAUUAAUUUGUUGAGCUAAUUUUGUUGUGUACGUGUAAAAUAAGCCAAUCAGUGUCCUUUUUAUAUCUAAAAAAUUGUAUAAUCCUACAGAGAAUAUUUAUAUUAGGCCUCAGCAAUUGAUAUAAAAGGCAACCUGUAUGAACACAUUCUUAGAGUCAAUAAUAGCAGAGCUUCUUAGAGGGGAAAGUAGAUAGGUUGUAAAACAAUGUCCUGGUUUCUUACAGUCAUCUUUCUGGUCACUACUCUUACAUUUCAUACUCCUUCAGAGGCUAUCUAUGAGGAGAUUCCAGCCUUCUGCAGUAGUUGUGGGAACUGUCUACUGUGACACAUGUUUCCAAGAGGAUUUCUCAAAUACCAGCCAUUUCAUUUCAGGUAAAUUCAUCUCAAAUUUUCAACAAGUUCUUCAUCAAGUUUUAUUUUUCUAUUGUAGCCAGUUCAAUAAUUUCCAUACACCCCUUCUCUUCUUCUAUACACACUCAUGUUUAUAUUUUAAUCAUUAAAUUUGAAUAAAUCAGAGAAAAAUUAAAAGAAGGAAAUAAACAAAAGUGUACAAAUGGAGAAAAUGUAAAAUCUAAAUUGACUGAAAACCUUUAUACAGGUAUUUCCUACGAGUCAACCAUACAACUACGAAAAAUUAAUUAACACAAAUCAACAGCAAAAAAAAUCUCACUUAAACUAAUUCCUUGACGGUAGGAUUCUGCUUUCAAUCACGAUUUCUUUCCAACAGACAACAAAACGUUGGAAGUUAUGUCAUCGUAACUUGUCAUUUUAUUGUCAGUCAACAAAACUUCCUGACAUGAUAUGGAUGCAUUAUCCAUCAAUAAUCUUGUGGGGGUUUUUGUGCAGGGGCUUCUGUUGGUGUGGAAUGCAAAGAUGGGACUUUAACAAAACAAAGUUUCAACGCACAAGUGAAAACAAACAGCCAUGGGCAGUUCAAAGUCCAUCUGCCCUUCUCAGUGAGCAAAGAUGUCAAGAAAAUUGAAGGAUGCUCCGUGAAACUAAUCCGCAGCAGUGAACCCUACUGUGCUGUGGCCUCAUCAGCCACCUCAUCUUCCCUACACCUCAAGGCAACAAAACAAGGGACUUACAUAUUCUCUGCUGGUUUCUUCACCUUCAAGCCUCUCAAGCAACCCAGCUUAUGCAACCAGAAACCCAACAUUCAGAAUUCCAAGAAAUUAAAUUCCCAGAAGUUCUCAGAGAUGGCAUUCCCAUCCUCCUCUCAGGUGGACCCCAAAAUGCCUGAUCCCUCUCUCAACCAAUCUGAUCUCCUAGGUCUCCCAGGUCUCCCAGGUCUCCCAGGUCUCCCAGGACUCCCAGGUCUCCCAGGUCUCCCAGGACUCCCAGGACUCCCAGGACUCCCAGGUCUCCCAGGCCUCCCAGGACUUCCAGGCCUGCCCCUUGCUGCUGAAAAAACUUCAUCCAAGUCCUCCAACUCCAAAACUUCAAGGAAUGGGCAACUAGGUGAUAAUAAAGAAGUCAGCCCAUCCAGAUUCUCCACCAGCAGGUUCAGCACCAUGAUUCCCAACCUACCACCUAUCCUGAUUUCUGUUGGGUUCCUAUCCUAUUGGGCGUAACCCGUUUAAGUAGAAUAAGCCCAUUUAGGUCUUCUGAGUUGUGGUUUCCUGAAGUUCUAUGUAUUUAGGUCUCUUCCUUCUCUUUCGAGAAUUAUGUGAAAUAUUGAAUGUUUAAGUUUUAUCUGCUUUUCCCAUUUUCUCUCUACUUUUCCCUCUUUCUUCUCUAACGAGAAUGUGUCGUUCAUAGACAGCUACAAGUACGGUAAUAUAAUACGAUUCAAUUAUUAGUUAAAUACAAUGAUUAUAUCGUUGAAACUUAAAAUUUCAAGAUAAGAGAUUCAAAGAUAAUAUAAUAUAUAUAUAUAUAUAUAUAUAUAUAUAUAUAUAUAUAAUAUUAUAUAUAUCAAUUAUUGUUGAAUCUUACCCAAGGAUGAAAAAGGGUAUGGGUAUUCUUUGCAGGGGUGGAAAAACAGAAGUGGGUCGGCCAUGCUUUUACUAUGUGGGCCCCUUAGAGAAAACCUGCUAAAAAUGAACCGUUUCAACAGAAGGAGGCAAAUAGCUGUACGGAACGACGACGUCCCUGAAUUAAGGUCAUCUUCUUCGAGUGCGGACGAGCCGUAUCACAUACCUUUCCUGUUUCCAUCGAGUUUGAUCUACUUCAACUUCUGUUUCGACAGAGUAGCAGGGUAAUGAUUUUGGGAAAAAAAUUUAAGGUUAGGGUUUUGGAGAAUAAUUUUGUGACUAGGGUUUUAGGGUUUUGGAUUGUUUUCACAAAAUCAUUCUCCACUGGUGAAAUAAAUCACCAUAAUAAUAGCAGUAGGCUAUGAUUUUAACUUAAUCAGUACCCAAAUGUAAAAUUUUAUGCUUAUUUCCGCAAAUACUAUUAACAAUUUAACAUGGAGUUUUAAUUUUUUAUGAAAUUUUUGUAGUUGAUUGGGUUUGUAUGAUGAAUAUUAGUGUUUUGAGCCACACUUGUUAGUCCAACUUCAAGCAAAUUUGCAAUCAGCAAGUCCAUUCUCUCUAGCUGCGACCUUCCUUGCAAAGGGAGGAAUCUUAACAGAGUCUUCAACCCUUCCCCAAAAGCUAUGAAUAAAGUCUUUAGCGACGACGGUCCAAUUAAGCACUCUAACUUUGGCCUUAUUGGUAUCGGAACGGGCCUCCCUGGAUCAGUGACAGCCGCCGCAGCUUCUACUGCCGUAAAAACUGUUCUUCACGUACCUUGACACUAACCACUUUUAUGGUGACUACUGCGCCUUUCUUCCCAUUGAUGAUUUGACUGUCUACCUAAAUUCUCAUGCUUCCCAACCCUCCGCCACUACUACCACCAAUUUCACCUCUACAAGUACAAGCCAUGAUGAUUGCAUCGCCUUACCCCUCACCCGCCAGUUGCUGUACGCCGAUACAGAGACCGUUACAUAUGCCCCUUAAGUCCUUGCACAAUAUAAUAGAAGCAAACCUCGGUCAAAUAAUAUAAACUUGAACUCCAUUUUGAGCAUUGUGAGAUAAGGGAAUGUGCUAGAAACUAUUAUGUUAAAUUCAUUCUUAUUAAACCUUUCAAAUAUGUGAUGUUUAUUAAUAAGCAUUUUAGGAAUAUCUAUGACUAUGUUUUUAGAUUGUUUGUACCAUACUUGACCAAUCCCGACACUACUAAGCACCGGUCAACGUUAUACCGUCAAGGACCUAGAAGAGUUUCCCUCCAACCAGGAGGCCAAUCACAGCGCGACACGUGUUGACAUCAGAAGCCAAUCAUAGCGCGACACGUGUCAACAUAAGAAGCCAAUCACAACACGACACGUGUUAAUGUCAGAAUGAAACUAGAAACUCUCUUCUAUAAAUAGAGAUCAUUCUCUCACAAUAUUUCCUAAUGUCAUUUGUACUAAAUCAUUCACUAGUACUCACUAAAGGAGAGCUUGAACCUAUGUACUUGUGUAAACCCUUCACAAUUAAUGAGAACUCAUCUACUCCGUGGACGUAGCCAAUCUGGGUGAACCACGUACAUCUUGUGUUUGCUUUCCUGUCUCUAUCCAUUUACAUACUUAUCCACACUAGUGACUGGAGCAAUCUAGCAAAGGCCACAAACUUAACACUUUCUGUUGUACCAAAGUCCUCACCGAUUUUGUGCAUCAACAUUUGGCGCCGUCUGUGGGAACGACACUUAUUCUCACUCUCUUCAGCUUUGUUAAGCUGGUUUCCACCAUUUGUACACUCUCUUUUGACCAGGCAUCCCUCUCCAACAUGGGGAGCGACGGAAGCCACAACACACAGAAUGACACCCUUCUUGCACCUAGUGUGAAGCAACGAAAGAAGGAAGGAAAGAGGGUUGCUUUUCAAGCUAAAGUCGAUGAGCUAGAAUCUUAAAACAACAAGAUAGCAAUGAAGAAUGAGGUCCUCCAAGAGCAGUAUGAGAAGCUCUUUAAGAUGCUCCACGAAACUAGGCGUACUCAAACACGCGAACUCGUUACCCCUGUGGACAUCAACCAUCAUCUGGAUACCUCCCAACAAGGAGGGUCACCUUCCUUCGACAUGGGUAUCCCUGAUGAGGAGCGAGCUAAUCAUCAAAACAUUGAUCAACAUGAGACUUCUUUCAACUCAGAUGCUUCGACCCGAAACAGGAGAAGUGGAGGAAGACACCUUUUUGCAGAAAGGUUGGAAGGAUCGAAAUCCAUUUAUCAUGACUGCCGAGACUUCCUAAAGCAACGUCAAGAGAAUCUCCUCCACAUAAGCUCGAAGAUCAAUGACCCAAGGGUUUCUGAAAGACUUGGUCCCCUCCCACGUCCCAGGCCGGCUACCAAUUUGGGGAAAGGGCAACAAGUCCUAGAGAAACACGAAGGUAUAGGGGGCUCAGAGAUGUUUCGACAGACAUACCUUGAAAGUCAGUACGGCGAGUCCAAGGAAAAAUCACAUGCUCUUGAUCAAACCUUCAUACUUCCAAGAGGAGAUGAACAUUUACGAAAGAAAGCUCAAGUGGUACAUGACUCCACUCAAGACCUUCUUGUCAUACAGCUUCUUAAGGAAGUAAACAAGUUGAAGGCCGAACGACAAGCUGAGAUACCUGAUUGGAACCAACCUAGGCCUGGCCCUCUUACAAGGAGGAUCCUCGACACCCCCUCCAAACAAAGACAAAGCAGAAGCUUGGCUUGCAACUCUAUACUGGAAAAGAGGACCCGAUUGAACACCUUAACCUCUUUGAGUCCACCAUGGCAUACCGGAUGCAUACCAACGAAGAGCGAUGUCUUCUCUUCCCCUCCACCCUCUCUGGCGGAGCUCUAAACUGGUAUUGUCGUCUUCCACCUGAGACGGUAGACUCAUUUGAGGAAUUGAGGAAACUGUUUGUUUCUCAACACAUUUUUCAGACUGAUCGCUUACAUUUUGCAGAUGACUUGUACACUAUUCGCCAGAAGCCGGACGAGUCACUACGAGAGUAUGCCAAUCGCUUUAGCCAUGAGUAUUCUCGAUGCGCUGAGGUAGAUGACAAGAUCGCCCUCAAGGUCUUCACGGCAAGCCUUCGUGAUUGUUUCUUCAAGUACAUGAUCAAUGCCAACACUUGGAAGACUUACUCUGAGGUGAUGGCAUAGGCUUACAACCAUGCAUCCGCCGAGGCAAGGACAUAUCAAGGGAAACCCCCCACAGCCACCCCUUAUCAGCAAGUAGGGAGUGGAAGCCAGAUCCAACCAAAUGAGAAGACCUCGACCUUCCAAACAGCAGCGGUGCCUCCCUCUGCCUUACUUAAUAUUUUGCCAAGUCAACAGACAUAUCAAUCUCAGGGCAAAAGGAAAGAUUUCUAUCCUCACCAGUCUCAUUUUAGUAAAAUGAGUAAGGGACACUACCGCGAUAACCAAGGGUAUCACCACGAUAAUCCCCGACCCCAGGCAGUCAACACAGUGGGUCAAGCACGUGUCCGGAUAGCCCAUACCCCGAGGUAUGAGGCAUACACACCUUUGAACGCCACAUGCGUGGCCAUUUACCCCAGCAUAGCACACCUGAUACCGAAGCCAAAGCCGAGGCACCUGGAUUACAAGUCCACGAAGAACACAGGCACAUUUUGUUGCUACCACGAGUAUAACGGCCAUGACGGUGAAAAGUGUAUCACCCUUCGAGAUCAUAUUGAAGCUUUGGCAUGUGAAGGAAAAAUUGAUCAAUUCCUCAUUCACUCUUCAAGGGGUAACCGUAACCAACCCCAGGUGAAUGUGAUAUAUUCCAUAAGUGGUGACACACCCAUAUCUAAAUCUUCCAACAGGGCCAUGAAAAAUAGUGAACGAGCUUUAAGGUAUGGCCACCAAGUGUUUCACGUGGAAGACAUUAGGGGAGGCAAGCAUCAAAAGCCUAACUGGGAUCUAAUAUGUUUCUACCUUGAGGAAGAAAGAGGUAUCAUCUACCCUCACCACGACCCAUUGAUCGUGGAAGCUCACAUAACCAACUUUAAAGUACGACGAAUCCUAGUAGACACGGGGGCUUCGGUCAAUAUCAUGUUUGCCGAAGUUUUCAGGGCACUUAAUGUAGCUGAACACUUGCUCGAUCGCUCGAUUUCCCUUCUGAUAAGCUUCUCCGGUGAUAUCGUGCAACCUUUAGGGAGCAUACACUUACCUUUCACCAUUGGUACAUACCUUUACACAUCUACCAUUACCACUAACUUCCUGGUGGUUGAUUGCCCAACGACAUACAAUGUCAUCUUGGGACGCACAUGCAUCAAUGAUCUCAAGGCCAUGGUAUCCAUAUAUAUGUUGUUGAUAAAAUUUCCAACCCACUAUGGCAAUGGUUACAUCAGAGGAGAUCAACUUAGUUCACGAUCAUGUUACAACACUUCGGUCAAGCAACAACACCUGCAUGUGCCCAAGGAAACCCUUUCUAUACAUGACCAAGUCAUAAAAACCAGCCCAGACGAAGCCAACUUGGAUCUUCACGGUGGCAACAGUCAACCCGAUGAUCCUCGAGAUGACUUUUUUACCCAGCAAGCACAACCCACUGAAGAGUUGGAGAAGGUCUCUAUAUUAAAAGAUUAUCCGGAUCGCAUGGUGAAGAUUGGCACCACCUUGUCACUACCCAUUCGGUUGGCAUUGAUCUCUUUUUUGCAAGAGAACACUGAGGUUUUCGCCUGGUCAUACGAGGACAUGCCAAGCGUCUCUCCCGAUAUCAUUUGUCAUCGCUUAAGUAUUGACCCCAAAACCAAGCCAGUGAGACAGAAGCGAAGAUCCUAUGACGUUGAAUUUGUAGGAGACAAUGAAGGCAGAAGUUGAAAAAGUCAAAGGCAUAGGCUUCGUCCGCGAAGUCAAUUAUCCAAUGUGGGUAGCAAAUGUUGUCCUUGUUAAGAAGAAUCCGACCAAGGAAAGUCUCCUACUCCAAAAGGUCUUGUGGAGAAUGUGUGUCGAUUACACCGACCUAAACAAAGGAUGCCCGAAUGAUAGCUUUCCUCUUCCUCUCAUAAAUAUACUUAUAGACUCUACAACAGGGUGUGAACUCCUGAGCUUCAUGGAUGCUUACUCAGGAUACAACCAAAUCCUUAUGAACCCUCUGAACCAAGAACACACAACCUUCACUACUGACAGGGGACUAUAUUCACUAGUACAAAAACAUGUUUGCGCGACGAAAACUUACGCGACGCAUAAAAUUACGUCGCGCAAAGCCGUUUUGCACGACGUAGGUGUACGUACGUCGCGCAAAACGUCUUUGCGCGACGUAAUUUUACGCGAUGCUGUCCUUCGUCGCGUAAACUUUUGGUGCCAAACCAAAAGAAUUUACCGUUUUUUCCCAACUUUGUGCGACGCAUGCCCACUUACGUCGCGCAAAGUUGUUUUGCGCGACGUAGGUGGGGAUGCGUCGCGCAAAGUCAACAACUUUUUUUCUUUUCAUUUGAUCAGUUUGGGAGGCAGAAACUGCAUACCUAGCUGCAGCAACUACCUCCAUUGCCCAUCUCUCUCUUCAAAACCGUCUACCAGAUCAGGUUUGAAGUUUGAAUUGAUAUCAAUUCUUUGUAUUUUUUCGAUUGCAAUCCUUCCCCUUUGCUCUUAAACAUGAUGUAAACUGAAUUAAUAAUAUGUAGAUCCUUCAUGUGAUUCAUUUACGAAAUUGAAAUUGCAAAAUCAAAGGAGAUAACUAUCUUGCUGAUUUUCUUUUUCUCUAUACACCAGAUCUCUUCUUUCUGUAGCGACUUAUUUGUUCGUACAUAAAAGCAGAGGUGAUAAAUUAGUUGGGGAAGACAAAUAGGCUUAUAUCCAGGUGAGGAGGACCCUGAGCACAGCUUAAGAAAUUACUAGGAAUAGCAUUGUGAGGCCUAAAUGUCAAUUGGCCAGGACUCCAUACAUGCGCAAUUUUGGUCUUUAGUAAAAACAUCUAAAUGAUGAUGGGUAUGUCCUUGAUGAAGUACCCGGUUAGCUGUUUUUACGAAGGACAAAAUACCGUAUAUGUAUGGAUUCAAACGCCACCAUCAAAUGGAUAAGAAAUUAGCGUCCAAUCCAUCGAAGCAAUUCAUGAUGUCUCCAACAUGUUGGAAGAUUUAAUUGGCAAUGGGAAGUUAGACCCAUUGAGAUGACGAAGAUGGUUUUCUCACGACGUUAAGAGUAGAAGUGUCAUCUUGAGCUCCUAAUCAAUUGUUAUAUUCCUACUGUAUAUGGUUAAUUUAUGUCUCCACCACUCAUGUAUCAUUCUUUGCAUGCGAUCCAAAAAUAAGGAUUCAAUGACCAAAAAACAUGGUUGUUGCAAAUUCAUCCAAAUUCAUGGGAAAUAAAUUAUGCUUAUAUCUUUCUCAUGAUGUGUACAUAUUAUUGAAUUGAUCUAUUCAUUUGUCAAAAAAGUGAACUAGUCGUGUUUAAUUACAUCAAAUUUGUCAAGCUGAUGUUGCCUAGCUGGUAUUCGUGUCGCCUACUUGCCAAUACGUUGAAAAUACACUCACUACUUGCAUAGAAUUUCAUAAUUGUAGGUUGUAUUUGGCUUGGAGACAUUGUGUUUUUACUUUCUUUACCAUAUUUUGGUUCAGAAAACCAGCAGUUCCGAUGACUGGAGGAAAGUCACUCUUCAGCUGGUACUCACAUUAGUUACGCGAACAAGAGCUACUGCUUACGUAAGGUUAAUGAUGGUGCUUGUCUUACUAACAGUUUCACAAUAAGUGAAUCCGUGAUAGGUGACAUGGUUUUCUGAUAAGUUGCAGUCUUUUGGAUAUUAUGCAAGCUAUUGCAGAUAUGAAUGGUGCAGAUAUUCGUCUUACUCUUCAAUCAUUCAACAGCCACUGAGCACAGCUUAAGAAAUUACUAGGAACAAGAGCACGGCUUAGCGGCCUUCUUUUAGUGUAGAUAAUAUCAUUUGUUAGAGAAAUUUUUUAUAUAUAUAUAACAAGGAAGAAAAUGAAAGAGGACAAAUAAUAAGAGAGCAGACACACGAUCGCCUACAAACUUCCAUGUAAACCCAGCCUGCUUUAUUCGUUUUUUCAGACCGAUUAAACAAAGCACAGAACUUAUUCCUCCUUUUUUAAUCCCUUAUUAAUCCCAAGUCUAUGUCUUAAGACAUUCUUUAUCUUCAACUACUUGCAUGUUUGACAUAUCUUAAUAAUAUUUCGUGUGUAACAUUUAGCUCUGAGUACUUAUCAAACAGACAUUAAGAUGCUGCCAAUCCUCAGACUGCAGCCUAUCAUCAUUUGAACACUUGUUCAAGUUUACAGUUUUGAUCCCCUGUCAACACCUACUCCCUUCUUUGUUUUGAUCCAACACCUUAUUUCAAAUCUGCAAAUAGUCACUUGCUAAGAGAAUGAGCAAUGUAACUGUUGCAUUUAGAAGUCGGAUUGUGUCAGUCGAGUGUAAGCAGGCAAUGAGCCUUUUAGUAACGCCAUCUUCUUAUGUUCAUAGAAGUCAGCAGUCUGCAAGUUUAAGCACCUUGUUUGUACAGUUUUACGUUUGUGUACCUAGUUCCAUUCAUAAGUCAGAUUUUAUCAGUUGAUUGCAAAUGCAAUCAGCAAGCAGAAUAUGUCAAUGUAUUUAGUAACAAAUGUCUCAUGCUUAGUAAAUGACUUGCGUAUUAUCUUCGUAAAUUGGCUUUCAUAACUUGUAUAAGAUUAGCAGCAUCCAUAAAUUUCUGUAGGGAAAGUUUUGAAAUUGGAUUUGUGCAUGAUAUGGGAAUUUGUGAGGAUGUAUGUUUGCUCUUGUUGUCUGUGGUCCUCCCCUGCCUUUUUCUUUAGGUUUGGUUAAAGUCUAAGCUACAUCUCUUUCUUAUUAUAAGUCGCAUGCAGAGAGAGAAGAUGAUGACGAUGGUCCUGUAUGUAUAUAUAUAUAGCUACCUCUUCUUUAUUUUUAUGAUUAUAUGAUUACUAAUUAGUCAUUUUACGUUGAUCAUAUUGAUUAAUCUAGAAUGUUAAAUCUAGUAUAUUGUUCUUGCAGACUUGUAUUUUGAAGGUGAGCAUAUGUUGUUUAGGGGGUUCCAAGCUAUGGCCACCCCACUUCACUAAGCUGUGGCCUCCCAAGUUCAUAAAAACAAAGACGGCUAUUACAUGUUGCAAAGGAUGUGCUCACAAAAUCAAGAAGAAAUUGCAGAACUUAACGGUACAAAAUCAGUUUUUUACUUCCCUCUUGCAGUUGAUCAUCAAAUUAGGAAUAUCUGCACAGAUAAAACCGGUUAAAAAUUCUUAACAAAAAUUAAACUAGGAAACGAUUUUAUUAGAACUUUGUAAUUGGUUCUGUUUGUUCUUAUGGUAUUAGUUUGUUUCUUUUCACUUGUUACUGCCUUUUGUAAUCAACUUUUUCACUGUCAUUAUUUACUCUGAUUGGUGAUGACAGAGGCAUGGCUAUUGUAUCUCAUAUAAGAGGAGAACUAAUAAGGAGAACUAAGGACUAAAUUAAGAGAUAGAUACGUAAAGUGAAAUAAAGGGUGCAUAAAUCACUUUAUAUUAAAAUGAAGUCUAAGAGACAUUUAACUACAUUUGAGAUGUCACAGUGUACAUAAAUCACUUUAUUUUCUUCGCUAAAUUAAUUUUUAUUAAUUUUAUCUAUUUUAUUUAGUUUUAGUAAUUAUUGUGAUUUAGUUUAUUUGUAUGCACAUAUUUUUGUACAUCACCUACAAAAUUGUUUUGUGUUGUACUAAGUUAAUACUACUUAACUUCAUACCCUUUUCUCAGGAAAAGCUUAGUUUCCCGUUUGAGAAUUAGUUGGAUUUCGUGCAUGGAUGUGAAAGCAUGACUGCGGUCCAAUUAAUUAUUGAAUUGUCCCAUUUUUUGGACAGUUUGGGAAUGCCCUAGUUAUGUGUUGUAGUUUGCGGUCCACAGAUUAGCUUUCGAUAGUGGAAAUUUUGGUAACAUUUCCCGAUGUUCUUUGAGUACACGGUGGAUAUUAUGUAUCUACGACGUGCACUUGAAGAACUGUAAGGAGAUGCUGGGAAAUUAGCCCACGUCGAAAUUUAAUCCAUUGGAAUCGUAAAUUACGGCACAUAACUGUGCAUUCUUGAAUGGGAUAGGGCCCUGACCAGAGGAAUAAGGUGACAAGACAAUAGUUUUCAUGUCCUAAUCUGUCUCAUAAUUUGCUUCAAUUGUACUUAAUUCCAAUUUUUGAAUAAAAUGAAUGAAUGCCAGCAGCGGUGUAGAUUUUCAAUGGCAUCCAAUUUCAUAUAGUUUAAUUAGUUAUAUCUCCAUUUACCUAUAUACCUAUUCAUUCCAAUUUUAUAUGAUCGCUUGAUGCAAAACUUUUCUAGAUAUUAUUAGUUGUAGCAGUUGCAUCUCUUAAAGAUCUAUACAACUUAUUCUCACUGGUUCACGGUGGAUUUUGCAGUUACUUCUCGAGCGUGGGGAAGCACGAAGGGUUAUUCCUUGGUAACACAUUUAUAAGGAUUCCGUUGUAGACGUUGUUGUAAUUCUUGUACUUUUAUUCGGAUUGCAGACAAAAUGGACAAACAGUGGAUACAUAAUCAUAAUAGAUGUGUUGUUGAGUACUUGGAUGGAAUACAUGCGUUCAUUGAAUUCGCAACUAGACAUAACCUAGGUUCAACUCAUAUCCGAUGUCCAUGUAGGAGGUGUAACAACUCAACGUGGGAGACAUUCAAGAAUGUUUGAUUUCAUUUAGUAAGAAAUGGGAUGAUGGAGACCUAUACUACUUGGUGUCAUCAUGGAGAACGAUUAGACCAAGCUUCGUCUUCAUACGUGACACGAGUGGAAACUGUUGAAUCAAAUGUGGAUCCUAAUGAACAAGUUAUGAAUAUUCUAAAUGACGUUUAUUCAUACGCCUCGAGCAACACCAAUCAGGAAGAGGGAGAAGAGGGAGAUGACGGCCGUCCAACCAUGGACAGUGAGGCAUUCAAAAACUACGAAAAACUAUUGAAAAAUGCCAAGCAAGAAUUAUAUCCAGGUUGUGAGAACUUUUCAAUGCUCACAACAAUUGUGGAGUUGAUGCAUGGCAAGAUCAAGUUUCGUUUGUCAAACAAGUGUUUUGAUUACUUUUUGGGAGUUAUCAAAAGGAUGGUUCCAAAGGAGAAUUGUUUACCUAAAGAUCAUAAAAGUGCCCAAAAAGUGUUGAAGGGUCUCGGAUUGGGGUAUGAAAAAAUUCAUGCAUGUGUAAAUAAUUGUAUAUUGUUCUAUAAGGAGAACAAAGCAUUGGAUAAAUGCCCUGUCUGCAAUGAGCCGAGGUUUAAAAUGACAUCACAGAAUAGAAACACCAAGAUUCCACAAAAAGUAAUGCGCUAUCUUCCAUUGAAGCCUAGGUUGCAGCGAUUGUACAUGUCGAUGCAUACCGCAACCGACAUGAGAUGGCAUAAAGAAGGAUGGGUAAAUGACGAUGUUAUGAGGCAUCAUGCAUAUGGAGAGGCAUGGAAAGAAUUCGAUCGGAUGUACCCUGAUUUUGCAGCUGACCCGCGCAACGUCAGAUUGGGACUUGCCACCGAUGGAUUUAAUCUGUUCGGGGUUUUAAACCUAAUGCACAACACUUGGCCGGUCAUCGUGUUUCCUUAUAAUUUGCCACCUUGGAAGUGCAUGAAAAAAGAAUACAUGAUGUUAAUUCUAUUAAUUAACAAAGAUCCAGGAAAGUCCAUUGAUGUUUAUUUGCGGCCGUUGGUUGAUGAGCUAAAAGAUUUAUGGGAAAACGAUGUUUGUACAUACGAUAAAUAUACUGGGCAGAUGUUCACCAUGCGAGCGGCAGUGAUGUGGACAAUAAAUGAUUUUCCCGCUUAUGCAAUGGUUUCUAGAUAGAUGACUAAGGGUUAUUUGGCAUGUCCAAUAUGCAAGGAGAACGUAACAUCAUCUUGGCAUGCAAGAAAAGUUUGUUAUCUUGGUCAUCGUAGAUGGCUCCCUUGGGACAACGAGUGGCGUCAGAAUGAUAAAUCCUUCGACAGCACAAAAGAAACUCGGCCAAGACCAAGAGAAUAAUCCAGAGAUGAGAUUUUGGAUCAGUUAAACCGUUUGGAAUUUGGUCAUUUCGGCAAAGGGGUCAGUAACCCCAAACCAACUACACAUCUGAACUGGACACACAAGAGUAUGUUAUUUGAGCUUCUGUAUUGGUCAAAGUUAAAAUUGAGACGCAACCUCGAUGUUAUGCAUAUUGAGAAAAAUGUGUUUGACACUUUGAUCGGGACAAUUCUAGACAUUGAAAGAAAAACAAAAGACACGAUCGAAGCUCGCCUCGAUUUGGAACGAAUGGGUAUUAGGUCAUCCUUGUGGAUGAAGAAUGUCGGUGGUACAUUGAAGAAAGGCCAUCCCUUUUUUACAUUUAAGCCGAAUGGGAAAAAAGAGUUUUUCAACUUUAUUUCUUCUGUAAAGUUUCCAGAUGGGUAUGCUUCCAAUAUCUCGCGUUGUGUGAACGUGAAGGGGUGUAAAUUUCAAAACAUGAAGAGUCAUGAAUGUCAUGUGAUACUCCAACGCCUUCUUCCAGUUGGUAUUCGACACUUAUUGCCUCUUGAUGUGGUGAAACCAAUCGUGUUGUUGUCGAGAUUUUUUUCGCAGUUGACUGCAAGGUGUUUGUGGAAGUCAGAUGUUAAACAAUUGCAGGACGACAUAGUGAACGUCUUAUGCAAGUUCGAACAGAUAUUUCCCCCAGCUUUCUUUACAAGUAUGAUUCACGUGAUGAUUCACUUGCCAGAUGAGGCAUUGCUUGCCGGACCAGUGAACUGUCGAUGGAUGUAUCCAAUAGAAAGGUACUUAAUUAAGCGUCUAUAUAUAUAUAUAUAUAUAUAUAUAUAUAUAUAUAUAUAUAUAUAUAUAUAUAUAUAACAUAUUCAUGAUCAACGAACGCUUUGAAUAAUUUGUAGCAUACCUUUUAUUUGUGCAUAUAUCUUGGUGAGUUGAAAACUUGUGUUCGAAACAAGGCAAAGCCCGAAGGAUCACUUGUGGAUGCAUGGGUCACAUAUGAGUCACUUACUUUUUGUGCAAUGUAUCUUGAAGAUGUUGAGACAGCUUUCAAUCGUCCAGAACACAAUAAUGAUGGUGGUGUCAGAAAAGAGAAACUGUCUAUUUUUCCCCAAAUUGCACGACCAUUCGGCGAUCCUGUAAAAGACGAAUCGUUUACCAAAAAGGACAUGGAGGUAGCGCAUUGGUUCAUACUCAACAAUUGUGACGAGGCUUUGCCAUACCUUGAAGAGCAUGAACAAUUGAUGAAGCGGGAACAUCCUUCACAUUUAUAUGCCAAGAAGCACCGUGACUUGUUUCCUUCGUGGUUUCAUGCACAUGUAAGUUGUAUGUGGUUUGAAUUGAGCAUAUUUUCCAACUUGUUCAUGCCCGUCUUUAAAUUUGGUUAUACUAACAAGUUAAUUUUUUGUAUAUGUUAUAUUAGAUGAACAAAUUGAAGGAAUUGAAUUCACCCUCUUACGAUGAAGAAUUAUAUAACUUGGCGAGAUGACCGCUUCACGUUGAAUUGUUCUCAGGUUGUCAUGUCAACGGGAUCAAGUUCUUGGGGGAAACACGUGAUGACAAGUUGUCUACUUAAAAUAGUGGUGUCCAUGUCCCAGGUGCGGGUGAUAGUGAAGACAUUGAUUUUUUUGGCAAACUAACUAGUGUAGUACAAUUGCUUUACAAAGAUAGGUGUCAAGUGAUAUUGUUUAAGUGUCUUUGGUUUGAUACAAACCCACAUAACCGAACGAGUGUUAAGCGAGACCAUGGUUUACUAUCAGUAAACAUUAUGAGACAUUGGUACGAUGAAGACCCAUACAUUUUGGCAACAAUGGCAAAACAAAUAUUCUAUCUAGACGACCCUAAAGCUGGCAAUGGUUGGAAAGUUGUUCAAAAGAUUGAUCGAAGAGGGCUAUAUGAUAUUCCAUAACAAGAUCAUGAUGACAAUUACGAUAACGUCGCUGACCAACAGUUAUCAUCUUCGAUAGAAAUUGGUGAAGAAACACUCCGGGAUACUAAUAUUGUCCAAGAACCGUUUGACGUAGUUGGAUUUCCUGAAUUCGAAAUAUCAAUUGACCUUGGUGAUCUACCUCAAUACAAUGCAUCGGAAGAGGAAAACGAAGAUGAAGACAAAUGGGAAUCCGGAAAUGAUAGUAGUGAGGAUAGCGAGAGUAAUUAUUGUAGUUCAGAUGAUGAUUAAUAUAAACUUGUAAAGAAAAAUCGUGCUUUUUCGUUUAUAACCGUCAAAAAGUUUUGUCCCUUUACAUAAUCUCUGAAUGUUUGUUUUUUGCAAUUUUUGGCGUCUGCGAUCUCGAAGCAUAUACAAACAAGUUUGACGGUUGGAUAGUUGAAAUUAGUUUUGUACAAUGCGUUUCCCAUCAAGUUCAAUGGUAUAUAUAUUUACUAAGUUGAUUUUAAUUUAUUUAUUUUGUACUUAUAACACUUAAGAAAUUUAAUGAUAUAUAUGUAAAAAAAAAAUUAUUGUGAGUUUUUGUUAGAAAAAUAUAUUAUUGUGGGGUUUAUGUAAAAUAAAUUUGAAUUUGAAAGAAGUAAAAUCACAUUUUUAGUAAUUUUUAUAAUAUUUAAAAAAAAAUAAAAUAAAAAAACCUUGCGCAACGUCUUAAUGUAGUCGUUGAGCAAAACUACUUUGCGUGACGUCAAUUUGUAUACCUACGUCGCGUCAUGUGAUAAUUUUGGCGCUCUAAUAGUGAAAAAUAGGCGUUUGUUUUCAAUUUUCCAAGUUUGGCAAACUUUUGAACCCCAUAGAUCUCUCUCUUCCCGUAUACCUCUCUCUUCCCACUCGCUCUUUCUUUCCCGCACGUAGACAUGCAUCUCUCCCUCUCGCUCUUUCUUUCCUGUACGUAGACCUGCAUCUCUCCCUCUUUCUCUCUCUUUCCCGUAGACCUCUCUCUCCUCUUCGCAACCUUCAACCCCCAAAUCUCAAAGCCGACGCGACGUAGGUUCCCAAAAUCAAGGUAAGGGUUUCUCAUUUUCGAUGGGUUUUUGUUAUUUAGGGUUUAGGGUCAAAUUGCAUGUUGAUUUCUGAGUACUUUGUCGAAAUCUCCAGAUAAAAUUGGAUGUUGGUUCUGAUUUGAUAGGGUUUCAGAUUUGUGAUGGUUUGAGGUUAUGUGGGUCUGUUGAUUUUGUUCAGUUGAUAGGGUUUGAGGUUCUGAUUUAGCACAGUGGUGGGUUUUCUCGAAGAACCUUAAAAGCAUGAAUCCUUACUCUGUCGUCCCUGGUACAAAAUUUCAACUUAUUUUUGUAUAUUUCUGAACCAAAUAUAUAUAUAUAUAUAGCAUCUUGAUCUUCUUCUUCACAGGGCAUGUUCAUCGGCUGUGAGGUGGUGGUUAUCUGUCAGUCUCCUGGUGAAAUUCUCAAUCUUUCUCUCUUAAUUAAGUGUUAAUCAUAGCUUUUAAACUGUUUUUCUUUCACUCAUCAGUCAUCACAUCCACACUCAGCUCAUCCUUCUCCAAAUUAAACUCAUUUUCUGGGUUUUUUUUUCUUUCAAAAGGGAAAUCUCAGUCACAAGGACAUGUAAAGUUCAUUACCCGUAAAUUUCAUUUGGUUUUUGUUACAAAUGGAACAGGAAUGGCUUACUUGCAAUUUAGGACUUGUAAUUUGAUAAUAAUAAAAGAAGGACGUCUGUUUAUUGAGAGAUGCCUAGGACUGGUUUGAUGUUUGUCAACGAAAGUAAGCUUUGAAUUUCAGUAGGCGGUGCUACCAAGCUUCGAACUUAAUUUGACCUACCACCAUUUGUUUUACUUCGAAUUAAAACAUGGAGAGAUCCUGCUAUAGAUUUGUAAAUAUUAUGCUAGCAAAGUCUUUUGAGCAUUAUGAUUUUCUUGUCCUGUAGCAGCAUAAUAAUGCUCAUAUAUGAUGCUAACUGUUACAUCCCAGACUCAAUCGUCAGUUAAUUAUAUUAUGAGUGAGUUCGGGAAUAACAUGAACCUAAUAGGUAAAUACCUCAGAAAUUUUCCUUUUGCUUAUUUAAUUGGCAUUGACUUGCAUAUAGUAUUCAUGCAUGUUAGAUGUAUUCUGGAAUAUCUUGUUCUUUUAAAUAGUUGUUGUGAAAAACCUGUAUUCUUGUUCUGAAGAAUGAGCCCUGCAUAUGGCUUUUCCAGAUUUGUAGGAAGUGUUAACUUUUCACAGGGGAUUGAAACUAGAAAACAUUUGAUGCACAUACUUAUAUAUGAUAUGCCUGAUUGCUUAACCCACUGCCUCAAGCUAUUACGGUAUUACCUUAGAUGAGAAUUUUACUUGAAUAGACUUAAGCAGUGCAGGACCCGACCAUUUAAAUACUGUACUUUUGAGCAGUUGCAUUAUAACCCACAUAUCCCAUGUAAAGUUUAUUCUAAACCUUUCAUGAGGUGGAACAAAUUAGUGAAAAAAUCUAUCAUUUUUGCUCACAAAAUACACAUACUGCCACAGUUUAACUAAUUUGAUCCUUAUAUAGUGAUUCUCUUUUAGGGUUUGUUCAGAUGCAAGAAAGGAUUAGUUUAAAUAUUCUUGUAUUGAUAUUAUUGCUCUAAUUACUUAUAUUACUUUGGUUGCUAUUUUAUUAGUUUCAAAUGCAAGAAAUGAUUAGUUUCUAAUGUUAUAUUUGUAUGGUUCAUAAAGUGUAUAGAUGUCGCAGUUGAUCACUCGUCGUCGGAGUGUGUCCAAUGCAGCUCCUGCAUUAUCAGCAUCUAGUGCUCCAGGUGUGAGUGCUCCAAGCGUGAGUGCUCCAUUGAUUGGGGAGCCUACACCCCUUACGGAGGCUACUCCUACGACGUCCCAGGUGCCCGUAUCAUCAACGUCAUCAGUGUCAGUUCAACCCCUCAGUGCACGGCGGCCUCCCUAGCGCCGCCGCGAGCCGGAGCCUUCUGAUCACACUUCCUUGUCCUCCAGAGUCGAGGAUGGGGCCUCCCAACCAGGUAGUUUUUUUUCUAAUUCUCACUACGUUGCAUUUUUUUUUCAUUUCAAAACUAUUACUUUUAUGAUUGUGAAAAUGUGUUGCGGGUUGUGAAUUACUGUUUUAAGGUACUUUUAUGAUUAGGGGAGGUUUUGCCGAAUUUUUUGUACAAAUUUAAGCUUAGGGUUUUUACCAUUAAAGUUUUUUUGGGUAGCUAAAAAAAAACACCAAGGGGCCCAAUCGAAUGUUGAAGGAGCUACAGCUUGUACGUAUGUCUGCCUCCUUGAUCAAGAUUGCGUAUGAUGAGCGACAUUGUGGAGCGGUUACCUCACAGCAGCAUAACAGCGUCGUUAAUUGCUGUGGUUUUAUUAUUAGGAAUUUUUGUCCUAUGCGGUGGGAGAGUUGGGCAAAAAUUCCCGAUGAGACGAGGACCCUGGUGCGAGAUAAUUUGGAGGUUAGUAAAUUAAUUUUUAGCAAAGUCAACAUCUUUCUCUGCUUAAACUAUUGCAGGGCCAUCAUCUUGAUUAAUAAAGUCAAGAUCUUUCUCUCAAUUUCUGUUUGGUUGCUAAGAAAAUGUAGGGGGGAAAGAGAAAUCAGGUGCAUUUCAUUGUUUUGCACCUGAUAGCCGAGUGUUGUUGUGGUGAAUAAUUUGGUCAUGUAUUUUGCACACUCUUCUUCUAUUCAUAAUUGGGAGCAGGUGUGGUCCUUUAGUUUUGGUUAAUUUCAGUGAUUUGCGGCACUGUUCUUUGUUGUCUGAAUGCUUCAUGGGAAGGAAAUUGAAAAAUAAUUCCGUGAACCAAUGUUAAAAUAAUGAUUAUGUUGGUUAGGUGGAAGGAUUACUAUCUUAUCUGAUGCAUAUUUAUGGGUUUUUAGUUUUGGUCUACGUCCUUGCUUAAUGAUUUAUGAUAGUGUUUAAGUGAGUAUGCAUGCCGUCUCUAGUACAUUGCUUUGCUUGUGUUGUGCAUCAGUUAACCUGAUCCAUAGUAUCCACUGGUUGAGCAACAUCGUGAUACCUAAACAUUAUGCCUAUACAUGCUGUUUUGUUUUAAUCAUUAAGUGCUUCUUGGGACUGGCUAUACUAAUCAAAUAAUCUAUCUUUUACCGAGCGAGUCCUAUGUAUGGUUCUUGACUUUGCCUCAAUUUGAUAGUGAAUUGUUUUUAGUUGUUGUCCUGGUUUUAUUUAUUAAAGUGAACUACGAAAGCAGCCUUAAAUAGUCGAGUUAAAUCCUUUGUUGAGAAAUUGUGCUAAGGAAAGGAAUUUGAUAAAUAAUUUGAGUGUUAACCUUAUGGUUUGAACAUUAAAGGUUUGACACUUGCGUGAAGCUGAGGUUUGACACUACUUUCCGAACUAGUAUGAAUGAUCCUAUAUAUAAAAAUUGUUUAUAAUUUUGUAAGCUUCCUGUAUAUUACUGUAACCACUUUCUACACAUUUACUUACCUUCUUAUGAAGUUUUUCUUCGAAUCUGCUAAUAUUUGUUGGGUCAUUUAGAAAUGACAUGCUUACUACAUGCUAUUCUUAGUGGGUUGCAGUUGGACAAGAGUCUCAUAAACAUGUUACACAAUUUGAUUUCUGUAGUUGCAGCAGCAUAAUUUUCAUUCUGUCAGUUUUACUACUUCUGGAUUGUAAGCACAACCAGUUUAAACAGGCAUGAUGUUGUAAAUUACUUUAACGAAGCUCACAUCUUAAGGGGUAAAUUGGUUUUUGGUUGUAAAAAUUAGAGCAUGUCCUUAGUAACAGCUAUUUGGAAGCCAACAUGAUUAACUGACUGUUAAAGUGGGAUAUGAAAUGCUUGUAUGCAAUAGGUUACCUUUAUGGAAUUGCAUUAAAUUGUACAUGCAUGACUUUUUUUUUCUUUUUGGGUAAAGUAUAUAUAAUAGUAGUUGGCUUACAUCCUAACAAAUCAUUUAACAUGCUACUGGAAUAGUUGAUCUUGAGUUACAGUCAGUGCAGUUACAACCUCUCUAUAAAAUGUUGAAUUUCCACCUUUGGUCUCUGUACCGGUGGAAAGAGGCUCACAUGGGAGAUCAAAACCCCACUCUUGAGAUCUUUCAUAAUAUAAACAUUAUAUUGUUUGCUUCCUAACAAAUUAAGAUUCUAGUUAUUAUUGUAAACCGACAAACUUUAUCAGUAUCUUAUAAACUAGUUGUCAAUUAUUCUGAUACAUGGUCAUUUUGUUUGUCAUUUUGUUUUUCAUAUUUGUAGGUCGUUUUUGAAAUGGAGGACAUAUCCCCUGAGGUCAGUGCCUACUUAGAGGAGACCUUUGCAAGCCGGUACAAAGAUUGGAAGAGCACUCUUCACAAGCAUUUUUAGCUAUGGGAAUCUCCGGAGAUUGCUCGCCUACAGGGUUGCCCACUCGAGUAUAAGGAGCGGCGAGAGGAUUGGGAGUGGCUCUGCACACAUUUUACGGAUCCAAAAUUUGUGGUAUGUACAUAAUACUUUAAUAAUAAUUUAUUGUUUUUGUUAUUUCAUUUAAGCUUUUUUUAAUAAUUUCUUUCAAAUAGUCGCACUAACAUGUAUAUUGUAUGUUUAACAGAAUAAAUCUGUUGUUGGCAAGAAAGCUCGGGACUCAAAGACACUUCUCCACCAUUCCAGUUCGAAGCCCUUUUCGUAUAGGGUUGAGGCACGACGUGAGGUAAAAGUAUAUUAAUUUUGAAAUUUUAUACAAUCUAUUUUUUAUUAUUGAUUAAUAAAAUUUUCUUAAUGUUUUUUUUUUCUUUAGAAGGGUUCUAAGUUCCCACAGAUUGACCUGUUCAAGCAUGUUUACGUUCAUCCCAACAAUGAGAAUAGUGACCAGCUUUAUGUAAGUAUAUGUAAUUGUUAUUUUUCUUAUUUUUAUGAAUCGUUCAAAUAUUAUUUAUAUUUUGUUAUUAAACAUAGUGGAAAAGAGCACUGCUAUUCUCCAAGAAGCAACAUCGCAGCUUCCCCCAAAGACCCCGAUCGAGGACGUCAUUGUACCCAAGGAUGCAAAUGUUCAGAUCGUGACUGAGGUCCUGGAUCAGAAGUUCGGUCGUCAUCAUGGUAAGGUUGUUAGGUGUACGGGGAAGGCGGGGGUUCGUGAAACGGGUGCCUCUUCUUCCAGAUUGUCCACAGGAAAGGUCAAUUCCUUGAAGGAGGAAGUGACAACCCUAAGAGGUCAGGUUACGGCCCAGGGCGACCACAUUAGGGCCCAGGACGAGAGGAUGAAUAUGAUUGUUCAGGCCUUAGCGAUGUCUGGCCUCCAAAUCCCGACGAUGCCAACACCUAAUGUUGCUCCACCUUCGACUUCCCAGCCACUUUACCCAGAUGAUACCGAGUAGCAUGAUGUAUUAAACUUAGAAGACUUGUAGUUUUUUAAUUUCUUGUUCGGACAAACGUACAUUUUCAUAUAUUCUAUAAUUAAUUACUUUUUCUUGGUUUAUUAAUUAUUGUUUAGAAUUUAAUUAUAAUAUUUAUUAAAAAUUAAAUAAAAAAAUAUAAAUGACAAAAAAAAAGGUUUGCGCUACGCAGUGCCUACCUACGUUGCGCAAAGCUACUUUGCGUGACGCAGGACCUACGUCGCGCAAAUUUACUUUGAGCGACGCAGUGCCUACGCGACAUAGGACCGUCGUCGCGCAAAGUCAAAAAUACGUCGCCCAAAAAUUAGCUAAACGAACCUUCAUCGCGCAAGAACCGUCGCGCGAAGGUAGUGAAGGAAGGGUUUGUGCGACACAGUGCCUACCUACGUCGCGCAAAGCUACUUUGCGUGACGCAGGACCUAUGUCGCAUAAAUUUACUUUGAGCAACGCAGUGCCUACCUACGUCGCGUAAAGCUACUUUGAGCGACGCAGGACCUACAUCGCGCAAAGUAGCUUUGCGCGACGUAGGUAGGCACUGCGUCGUACAAACCCUUCCUUCACUGCCUUCGCACGACGGUUCUUGGGCGAUGAAGGUUCGUUUAGCUAAUUUUUGGGCGACAUAUUUUUGACUUUGCGCGACGACGGUCCUAUGUCGCGCAAAGUCUUUUUUGUACUAGUGAUUGCUAUAAAGUCAUGCCCUUCGGCCUAAAAAAUGCAGGAGCGACUUAUCGGAGACUGGUCAAUUCAAUGUUUGCCGAACAGAUUGGGAAGAGGAUGGAAGUUUAUGUUGAUGAUAUGCUAGUCAAGAGCAAACAUGCUAACCAACACAUCACCAACCUAUCUGAAACUUUCACCAUUCUGAAGAGGUAUCGAAUGAGGUUAAACCCCAACAAAUGUGCCUUCGACGUAGGCUCUGGCAAAUUCUUAGGCUUCAUGAUAAGCCAACGAGGUAUUGAGGCUAAUCCCGAGAAGAUCAAAGCAAUCAUCGACAUGAAGGAACCGGUAACCUCAAAAGACAUCCAAAGCCUUACUGGCAAGGUGGCAGCCUUAACUAGGUUCAUCUCUAAGGCCACAGACAGAUGUGCUCCUUUCUUCAAAGCAUUUAAGGGAAGUAAAAAGUACAUUACAUGGACUGAUGAAUGUGCUGAGGUAUUCAAGAACCUCAAAGACUACAUGAGUAAAGCCCCUCUGCUCUCCAAACCUGAGGUUGGUGACACUCUCAUUAUCUAUCUGUCGGUAUCAGCUUCAGUAGUAAGUUCCGUUCUCAUUCGAAAAGAUGGUAAUGUCGAACGGCCUGUCUACUACGCUAGCAAGGCCUUACAAGAUGAGGAGACACGAUACUCCAACAUUGAGAAAUUAGCUCUAACAUUGGUCGUGUCUGCUCGAAAACUUCGCCCUUACUUCCAAGCACACUCCAUCAUCGUGCUUACCAAUCAUCAUCUUCGACAAAUACUCCAAAGUCCUGACACUUCUGGGCGAAUGAUCAAAUGGGCAAUAGCAUUGGGUGAGUUUGACAUCUCCUACUAACCAAAGCCAGCUGAGAAGGGCCAAGCAGUGGCAGACUUCAUCGCCGACUUCACAUAUCCUAUUAACAUUGUUUCUACGCCCAAAGAAGUGGUUUCAUUACCCUCGGAAGCUCAGAAAACAGAACCAACAGCCCCAGCAUGGAGACUAUAUGUUGAUGGCUCAUCCAACCAACAGGGUUGUGAAGCAGGACUAGUCCUUACGACCCCUGACAAAGUGGCAAUGAAGUAUGCUAUUCGUUUCAAAGUUAAGGAGUCGAACAAUGAGGCCGACUAUGAAGCCCUCCUAGCAGGCUUAUGUUUGGCCAAACACCUUGGGGUUAAACGAAUUGAUAUCUUCAGUGACUCUCAAUUGGUGGUUAACCAAGUCACCAACAACUUUGACGCUAAGGAUAGCUCAAUGGCAGCAUAUAUGGCACAAACACAAUUGUUGCUCAAGCACUUCCAGUACCAGAUCACCCAAAUUCCUCGAGCGGCAAAUAGUCAUACAAAUGCUUUGGCUCACCUCGCCUCAGCGGUGGAAGACAAGAUUGGGAGAAGAAUUCAGGUCGAAUUGUUGGCAGCACCAAGCACCAUGGUUGCGGAAGUGUGCAACUUACAACAGGGGGAUAGUUGGAUUACCCCGAUUUAUAGAUUCCUUACUCAUGGCACCCUUCCAAAUGACAAAGUCCAAGCUAAGCAAAUUCGAUACAAGGCUACCUGUUACUUGAUCAUUAAUGAUCAACUUUACAAGUGGGGUUUUAACCUACCAUACCUAAGAUGCCUUACGCCCGUAGAGGCGAAAACUGUCCUUCGGGAAAUACAUGAAGGAGUCUGCAGAGAUCAUGCUAGAUCUCGAUCCCUAGCACACAAGGCUUUUUGCCAAGGAUUACUGGCCGACACUCUACCAAGAUGCCAUCAAAAUAUCCCGCUCAUGUGAUAAGUGUCAACGCAACGUAAUUAUUCCUCACUCCCCUCCCGAGCAGCUCACUCCUAUGAUCAGCCCUUGGCCUUUCGCCCAAUGGGGACUUGAUUUGAUUGGCCCAAUGCCUGCAGGGAAGGGCAAAGUUCGCUAUGCAAUCGUUGCAGUUGACUACUUCACAAAGUGGGCCGAAGUAGAACCCUUAGCAACCAUUACUAAGGCAAAAAUAGAAGACUUCGUAUGAAAGAACAUCCUUUGCAGAUUCGGCAUUCCCGAUGCGAUAGUCAUUGACAACGGGCGACAGUUCAACAACAAUAAGUUCAGGAUGUUCUGCUCUAAGUUCAACAUCAACUUAUGUUUUGCCUCCCCAGCUCAUCCCCAGUCUAAUGGACAAGUUGAAGCUAUCAACAAAAUAAUCAAGCGAACUUUGAAAACCAACUUAGACAAGGCUAAAGGUUGUUGGCCAGAAUUUGUACCCCAAGUUUUUUGGUCAUACCGCACUUCGUAUUAGACAUCAACACGAGAAACCCCAUUCUCACUUGCCUUUGGUACAGAGGCAGUUGUCCCAGUUGAGCUUGAAUAAGCAACAUUUCGAGUCCAGAACUACGUGCAAGGCGAAAAUGACAAACAACUUACCCUCAACUUAGAUCUAGUUGAGGAACACAGAAACCAGGCUCACUUGAGGAAUGUCGCCUACAAGCAGCGCAUCUCCAACUACUAUGACUCAAGGGUCAAACCUCGUUCUUUCAAAGUGGAGGAUUGGGUAUUAAAGAAAAGAUUACUCUGCGACAGAGUCCCGAGUGAAGGAACACUUAGUCCAAACUGGGAUUGACAGUUUAAAGUUGUUGGCAUCAGUCACCCUGGCUCCUACAAGCUUAGAAGCUCCGAUGGCAAGACCAUUGGCCAUCCAUGGAACGCUGAUCACUUGAAGUACUAUUACAAGUAAACUCACAUUGUACAAGUGUUAAGCUUCAACAGUUCAUCAUCCUAUGUAACGAAGACUAUUUGGCAUGAAUUCAAUAAAGAGGUGAUUUAGAUAACUCGGUCCUAAUCCUCUUACAUUCCUAGCAAUGAAACACUCGGGCCCAAAGCUUCAACUCCAAAGCUUCACUUACAAAAGCUUCAACACAAAAGCUUUACCCACAAAAGCUUCAUCAUUUGAGGACAACUACGAAUUCUCAAAAGCUUUACACUAUCUUGAUCAAGAUAGUGUGAAGCAAAAUCAAUUCAUGGUACCCAACAAAAGCUUCAACUCCAAAGCUUCACCUACAAAAACUUCAACAUAAAAGCUUCACCCAUAAAAGCUUCAACACAAAAGCUUCACCCAUAAAAGCUUGACCCACAAAAGCUUGACCCACAAAAGCUUCACCUACAAAAGCUUCACCCACAAAAGUUUGACCCACAAAAGCUUGACCCACAAAAGCUUGACCCAUAAAAGCUUGACCCACAAAAGCUUGACCCACAAAAGCUUGACCUACAAAAGCUUCAACACAAAAGCUUCACCUACAAAAGCUUCACACUAUCUUGAUCAAUUCAUGGUGCCCAACAAAGCUUUAACCUCAAAGCUUCACCUACAAAGCUUCAACACCAAAGCUUCACCUACAAAGCUUAAAAAUAUAUAUAUAUUUUUUCAGAAAUUCAAAAAUUCAAAAAUUCAAAAAAAAAAAUUCAAAAAUUCGAAGAAAAAAAAUUCGCCUAGGUCUCCUCUUCUUUAGGCCUAACAACUUUCAUAACAAAUAUAUAUAUGAAUGAGGAGUUUUGGGCUACCAUUUAAAAAGGAAAUGCCACAUUCGUCAACUCCCUCGACCGGAGACUUGGGGGACACCUACCAUAUGCUACUGCACCUUGAUAUUCAGAAGUCUCACGACCACUCAGUGACUUGGAUUUUUCAAGUCUCCAACCGAGAAGUUUUCCUCACUCGGGAAAUUAAGGAAGUACUACCUCAACAUACAUGUUUCACUCUCAAAGCUUCAACAUACAAGCUUCAACAAAAGAAAAAAUUCAAAGAACUUAGUGAAGAAGGCCUUGGUGUAUUCAACACAAUACGUUGAAAUGAAGCAAAGCUUGUUUAUUGAUAUCUUCGAUAAGUUACAAAUAUGUAUAUAUACAUGAAUCAAAAUAAACAAACAAGAGAGAGCCUUCACAAAGGUUGCUCAUGAGAAGUCUCAGCAGUCGGCAGAGCCCCAGAAAGAGUAGGCAUCAGAAGGUGAUCAUUCGGAGCCUCAGUACUGGUAGAGAACCCUAGAAGGAGGAGGCACCAAAGGUUGAUCAUUCGGAGCUUCAUUACGUGGUACAGCCCCAGAAGACAAAGGCAAUAAAUGCCUUUGGAACAAACCCACAAACCUCUGAUUAUCAAGCAAAAUCUGACCAUCAGAUUCCUGCAGCUGGUCAAGCUUCAUCUUCAUGUUUGUAGUAUAGUCAUGUGCGAGCCUGUGCAACUGUUUAUUCUCAUGCUUGAGCCCUCUGAUCUCCUGUUUGAGACUUAUCACUUCAGCCGCCAAUUAUUCAACUUGGCGGGUUCAAGCAAAUAGGUGUUGGGCCAUAUUAGACACAGAACCUGCACACUGAACACUGAGAGCCAGAGAAUCCUUAACAGUCAACUCAUCAGACCGUUUGGAAAUUAGUCUGUUAUCUUUAAGAGUGAGAAGGUUCUUGGCCACCACCGCAGCGGUUAUAUCAUUCUUCAUCACAGAGUCCCCAACGGUAAGAGGACCAGUAAGGGAUAAGAAGAAUGGGCGCCAUAUGUUGUCUUGAGAAGGCAUGGCUGCCUCUUCACCAAAGUUCAAGUCAAAACGACGGUCGGAAGGGCCAUACAUUCUCAGAAAUGAUGAAGGAGAAAUGAGGUGCAAUAAAUCUCUGAAGUAAGGGGAAAAUUCAUACAAGCAAUAACUCUCUGAAUGUACUUCUUGCACACAAUUGGUGCCCUUAUAAAAGAAAGGGUAACAAGGCCGUUGGUUCAAAAAUCGAAAAGGCAUCACUCUUCGGAUUUCAAAGAGACACCACUCUCCACACGCAACAUCAGCUCCUCGGGUACCACAGAUAACUUUGCCAAAGAUCUCUGACAAAGUUUAGACAUAUAAAUUUUGAAGGUCCAGCUACCCUACUAUUACUCACAAGGGUAAAGGAACAACACCACUACUUGAUAACUGAAGAGUCCCUAUGUGUGUCAACCUCCGUGCUCCGUGGCAAGGUAGAUUGGCAAAAAUGCCCAACCUUUACUCAUAUUCGAGAAAACACUCCCAAUAAGAUUACUUUCUAAAAAAUUGAAGAGGCACCGCUCUCCGAAUCUCAAGAGCCAGACUCCCAACAGGAUUGUUUUCUCAAAAAUCGAAGAGGCACCGUUCUUCGAAUCUCAAGAGCCAGAUCCCCGACAGGAUUGCUUGUUCGAAAACCGAAGAGGCAUCGCUCUCUGAACUUCGAGAGCCAAAUUUCCUUGGAUAAAGCUUGUCUGCAAUCUUCACACGCAACAUCAGCUUUCCAGAUACCACAUACCACUUUUUCAAAGUGCUCUGACAAAGUUAAAACACGUGAAGCUUGCAGCUCCCACUACAUUGCUACGACCAAGAAGGGUAAAGGAAUAGCAUUAUUACUUGCUUAAAAAUCAAAGAGGCACCGCCAUCUGAAUCUCUAGAGCCAGACUUCCAACAAGAUUACUUUCUCAAAAAUUGAAGAGGCACUGCUUUCCGAAUCUCAAGAGCCAGACUCUCAAUAGGAUUGCUUUCUCAAAAAUCGAAGAGACACCGUUCUCCGAAUCUUAAGAGCCAAACUCCCAACAGGAUUACGUGCUUAAAAAUCGAAGAGGCAUCGCCCCUUCGAAUCUCGAGAGCCAGACUUCCAACAGGAUUACUUUCUCAAAAAUUGAAGAGACACUGCUCUCCGAAUCUCGAGAGCCAGACUUCCAACAAGACUGAUUUCUCAAAAAUCGAAGAGGCACAAUUCUCUGAAUCUCGAGAGCCAGAUCCCCGACAGGAUUGCUUGUUCGAAAACCGAAGAGCACCGCUCUCAGAACUUCGAGAGCCAGAUUUCCUUGGAUAAAGCUUAUCUGCAAUCUUCACACGCAACAUCAGCUUUUCGGAUACCAUAGACCACUUUUUCAAAGUGCUCUGACAAAGUUAAAACACGUGAAACUUGCAGCUCCCACUACAUUGCUAUGACCAAGAAAUGUAAAGGAAUAACACUACUACUUAUUGUUAGGGAUACUCCUAUAUAUGUCGACCUCCAUCCUCCAUAGCCAGGCAAACCUGCAAAUAAAAAAAUGCUCAACUUUUCUUCACAUCCGAGAGGGCACUCUCAGCAGAGUCUCUCGAAAUACUUAGCUUUUUUUCCUCCCGAUAAUAUCUCUACAAACAAGCCACGCCAGAGCAAGAGUAUCUCAUAUCACCAGGGUUAAAAGAAAGAGUAUCCCAUAUCAUGUUUUUUCCCUGUCUUUUCCUUUGGCCUUAUUCUUACCUGCAAGACAAGGAGAAAGAGAGCAAUCAGUCAGCACUUAGAAUCAAGCUUCCAGUCAGGAACUGACUGCCUGGAACCCCUUGCUUGAUUACUUACCUGACAUUGCUCUCGAGUAGUCAUCUUCAACAUCUUAUGCUUCCAGAGAAGAUACCACAUCUGCCUGAGGAACAGAUAGGGCAAGUGAGAACGAUACAAGAAAGCAUGCGAAGACAAGCGUAACAGAACACGUGCCGAUAUAUCCACUACUUUGUCAACAGCAAAAGUAUCUCAUAUCAUCAGGGUCGAAUGUACUCUAGAUUUGAUGGACUUGUUUUGACCCUCAAAUUCUUAAGUUGGCCUUAUACUCUUGAAGAAACCAGAAAACCCUCCAGCCCAGUUUAAGAAUAAGCAUGCGGAAAGUUACUUGUUCAAAAGCAAAAGUAUCUCAUAUCAUCUCUUAUCCAUUUGCUUCUCAUUAUCCUUAGUGCUAUUUACGACAUAAGGAGAAAGAAAACAAUCAACCGGAAGUCGAAGUCGAACCUCCGAUCCAGGUUGCUUACUUGGAAGUCUGAUUGCUUACCUUGUCUGUUACCUCCUUCGGCAAAUCUCCUAGCCUGGCGACUUAGGGGACUCAUACUAUAGGGUUUGUAUCGCACUUGACCAAGCCCGAAACUACAAGUAAGCUUCAAGUGAAAUUGAUACAUUACCUUGUGCAUCUUCAUCGGUUAAAGAUACCACCCCUGGAUGGAGGAAAAGUACUUCCAGAGAAGAUGCCACAUCUACGUAUGAGACAGAUAAGGCAAGUGAAAAUGAUACCACACUUCGGUACUUAGAAGUUUCGUGAUUACUCAAUGGCUUGGAUCUUGCAAGUCCCCAACCGAGGAGCUUCCCUCACUCGGGAACUUAGGGGAGCACUGUUUGUACCAUACUUGACCAAUCCUGAAACUACUAAGCACUGGUCAACGUUAUACCGUCAAGGACCUAGAAGAGUUUCCCUCCAACCAGAAGGCCAAUCACAGUGCGACACGUGUUGACAUCAGAAGCCAAUCAUAGCGCAACACGUGUCAACAUCAGAAGCCAAUCACAACACGACACGUGUCAAUGUCAGAAUGAAACUAGAAACUCUCUUCUAUAAAUAGAGAUCAUUCUCUCACAAUAUUUCCUAAUGUCAUUUGUACUAAAUCAUUCACUAGUACUCACUAAAAGAGAGCUUGAACCUAUGUACUUGUGUAAACCCUUCACAAUUAAUGAGAACUCAUCUGCUCCGUGGACGUAGCCAAUCUAGGUGAACCACGUACAUCUUGUGUUUGCUUCUCUGUCUCUAUCCAUUUACAUACUUAUCCACACUAGUGACCAGAGCAAUCUAGCAAAGGUCACAAACUUAACACUUUCUGUUGUACCAAAGUCCUCACCGAUUUUGUGCAUCAAAAUAGAUUAACAUGUAGCAAGAGAAAAUUGUCAUGGAGAAACGGUUGCCCAAACUUAAGGCUGCAAUUUUGAGUGCUCAGAAGUGCUUGGAAGAUUGCAACUAUGUUAGGGGAUUGGUGAGUGACCAUCAUGUGCAGAGUUAGUCUGCAUUUUUUAGUUGUAUAGUAGUUGUAUAGACAGUCCAUUUUUCUACGUUAGCAGUACAAAUUCUUUUUGUUUUCAUCUUGUUUUUCCUCUCUUUAAUUGUCUGAACUGCAAUACGUUUCUGCAACUUGAUGAAUGGUGGGACUGAGAGAUGAAACCAGAAAUUUUACUAAAAGGGGGCACCUUAAAAUUUUUGAGCUCCUUUUUUAGACAAAUAAAGCUAGUUCUUUUACAAAUGCUAAUUUUGUCUUUAAUUGUUGACAAUAUAAUGCUCAUUUGUACUAAUUAAUCAAGAGAGCUGUUAUUCCCACCCCCAAUGUCUUAUUUUUUCACCCACCUUUUUAUGAAUUUUUUAAUUACAAAUUUGUCAAUUUGUAAAAUGACUAACAAGGACCUUAGUUACCCACUUUUGCAUUACUUUUUUUUUAUAAAAAAUAAAAAAGAAAAGUUUGGGCGUGAUAAUUCUCGCACUAUGUUUAGACGAUUUGUCUCCCUUAAACCCUAACUCAUCAUUCCCAUCUCUUUUCAUUCAGAGAAAGCAAAAAGAAUGAACUUAGCAAAUGAUGUUUUUAUGGAAGAAGUAGAUGAUUAUGUUUCCGUCGAAGAGGUAAAAGAUAAUUUUAUGUGGGUCAUCUUGAUUUGUCGACAUCAUAUAAUUGAAGUAUAGCUCUGUGACUUUUUAUCUCUAAUUAUAUAUAUAUAUAUAUAUAUAUAUAUAUAUAUAUAUAUAUAUAUAUAUAUAUAUAUAUAUAUAUUAAGGGUUAUUAGGAAUAAUAGUGGGUGGGAAAAUAACAUUUUAAUUUUUUACCUUUUUAUAGUGGGUGUAAAUAUAACAUGGGUGGGAAAAUAAGACAACGGGGUGGAUCUAGUAGCUCCCUUAAUCAAAUACAUGCAACUCAACAAGGUUUAGACAUUAGUGCGUGAGAAAAAUAUACAAGACAAAGGGACAUUUAAAAACUAAAAGAGGAUUCUCACUAUUUUAAUAUGAUUAAUUGAAUAAUCCGCAAAGCAAAAAAAUUGGGAAUGAUUAAUUGAAUAAUUUGUAAUGAAAAAAAAAAGGAUGGGAGGGGGCAAGUGCCCCCAAUAGGCCUUACCUCCCUCCGUCCAUGGUAGUGGGACUCCCACCCACCAUAACCGUUGCCCAUCCCUAGGUAGGAGCAACUAGCAGCAACUGUUGUUGACUGGGUCUGAGUCGAUGGAUUAAAUGUUGCUGCAUGGUAUAAUCAUGUGAAGCAACUCCUUGAAUUUUAUGAUCAGGAGCACUUGUGAAUAUUAUUUGAGUACUCAGCAAACAAUAUUUUAUGGGGAUCUAAUUAGUCUUCCUGUUGGCAGUCCCACAUCGGUGGGGGAAGUCAACAAUGGUGAUUUUAAAUAUGAGUACCCUACUUUAAUUAAUAAUGAUGUCUUUUAUGGUAAAACCCCACACUUGACAGAUUAGGCAGGUGGUAAAGUUGUCGAUCUAAAAAUUUCAACAUGGUAUCAAAAACCCAUGAUUAAGGGCAUGUGCAAGCCAAAAGCUUGUCACCAGGAAGUGUGGGAUUGGAAACAAGCUUGGACUCUUAACAUAGAGCCAGUCUCUGAGUUCUUAAGAGGCACUUCUUGAACAGAUUGAAACAAGUCUGGACUCCAUUGGAGCUAACCCUUAAGUUUCAAUUGAUGAUCCUCUUCUUGAAAAGAGUGAAAACAAGUCUGGACUUCAUUGGAGCCAACCUCUAAGUUUCAAUUGACGAUGUGUGGAUCUCUAUAUGUGAACCACUAAAUGGGGUUACAAGUGAGGGGGCAUGUUGGUAGUCCCACAUUGGUGGGGGAAGUCAACAAGGAUGGCUUUAAAUAUGAUUACCCUACUCUAACUAAUACCGAGGUCUUUUGUGAUAAAACUCCACACCUGACGGAUUGGGCAAGUGGUAAAGUUGGGGAUAGUAUCGGUAUCAUUUUCUUGAAAAGAUUGAAAACAAGUUUGGACUUUAUUGGAGCCAACCUCUAAGUUUAAAUUGAUGAUGUGUGGAUCUCCACGUGUGAACCACUAAAUGGGGUUACACGUGAGGGGGCGUGUUGGCAAUCCCACAUCAGUGGGGGAAGUCAACAAGGGUGGCUUUAAAUAUGAUUACCCUACUCUAACUAAUAUUGAGGCCUUUUGUGGUAAAACUCCACACCUGACGAAUUGGGCAGGUGGUAAAGUUGAGGACAGUAUUGGUGUCGUUAGGGGGCUCCUCGAGCUCGUUGAUCUAAAAAAUUCCAACACUUCCUGGAUCAUAUUUGCCACUUCUACAAAGCCCUUGUUUCAUUCAUUCUCGCAUCGCUAAAAAAACCUACAAAGGCUUAGUAGAAACUCAAGCUCAAAUUUAUGCUUGAAAGGUAAAUUUAUUAUCUCUUAUUGGUCGGGCCACUUUUGUUCAGUCUGUCACCUCCGUUGUCCAGUAUAUGCUUUGCAGACAAUAUUACCAAUUACCAUUACAGAUAACCUUGAGUGUCAAAGAUUUUUCUAAGGCAAGAGAAGUUUGGCAAAAGUUGGAAAGUAUAAACAAUAGUCAGACCACAUUGAUUUUCAUGAUUGGCUUCAUUUUAAUCUCACCACUAAUCACUCAUAUUGGGGGGGGGGGGGGGGGGUUUAGAGUAGAUGUUAGUAUUUUCCAUUGCUUGUUGGUUUAUUUGGUAUUGGCGAAAUAAAUUUGUUUUCGAGCAGGAUUUUGCAAUGUUUGAUGAGCUUACAGUCGCUAUUUGUGCAUAUUUUCAUGAAUGGUUAGCAUUCUAAUACUCACAAGAUUGAUAAACGCCGUAAGAUUGAAUCUUUGCUCCACUGGAAAGCUCUUCAUUCAAAAUUGAUUUAAACUUAAUGUUGAUAGUUUUAAGAAGGAAAAUAAUAAUCCUUACAUAAAUAACUGGCAGCCGUGCCAGAGGCAAUACGUGUAUGGAAUCAUAUACUGAGGAUAGGGUAUUUGGAAAACAGUCCAUUUCUAUUGAGCCACAACGAAGGGAGUGCAGAAAUUCACAGUUUCGUUUUUGGAUUUAACAGAGAGAUAAUGGAAAUUUGGUUUUUGAGCUUAAACCUAACGAACUUCACCAAAAGGGUUUAAAACCGAAUUUUUUUUACCACAUGGCUAUCUUCAGAAUACCCUAUCAUCACGAGGACUAUUUAUACGUGAACUUUCUUCAUUGAACGUGAAUAUCACAUGCUAAAACUUCUCUUCAUUGAACUUUCUUAAAAGCAAAAAAUACUAAUCGACUCAACACCUACUUGUGCAGAUAUUGGCUAAACCAAACAUUAGAUGUGAAAAAUUAGCACUUUGCCAAAUAAUAUUCCGAGUGAGCAAAAGAGAGAAAAAUAUAACAAUGGCACACAGACAAAAUAUAAAAGUUGAGGAGCCGGGUGAUAUAAUAUUAGACAUUGCAAUUGUAGGCUCGGACGACUUAAGGAGAAGAAGGUUGCCUGCACCACUAUUAGGAACAUUACAAAUCAACAUUUCAGAGGUAACAUGCAUGGUCUUCUCUUCUGCCAUGAAAAAUUCAUGCCUUCAUAUAAUUAAUUAAUUAAUUAACUAGUUAUUAGUGUUAAUUAUCUAGAGAGCACUCUCUAACAUUUCCAUCCUCCAUCGUUUUCUUCUUCUUCAGAACAAAGUUUCAAUCAAUUUUUUUUUUUAAAAUACCUUUUACUUUAACAAUAUUAGCGAUUAGUUUUAGGUUGCCUUUUAAUUAGCUCGUGUGCUUCUGUUGCAGGGCGUGUUCGAGGAAAAAGGGAGCAUACUUGAACCAGCAGAGGCUGUGGUAGCAUCUAUGAAAAAACUUUAUGAACUCUUUGUAGCGAAACGACGUAGUUUGACUCGUUUCAUUUUUAAAUUUUUGUUUCCUCGGGUGCAAAGCAAUGUUGUUUGGCUUGGGUUAAAAAAAAAUAAAAAAAUAUAAAAAUAUAAAAAAAUAAAAAAACUAAAACGGAGCAACGCCCUGUUAGCAGUCCAGAAAAGCAAUGACUUUAAAUAGGAAUACUCCACUGUAACUAAUACCAAUAUCUUUUGUGGUAAAUACCAAUAUCUUUUGUGGUAAAACCUGACGGAUUGGGCAGAUAGUAAAGUUGAGGACAGUAUCAGUGUCGUUAAAGUUGCCCCCCCCAAAGCCCAUCAAUCUAAAAAAUUUCAGCAUGGUAUCAGAGCCCACAGUUACGGGCCUAUGCAAACCAAAGGCUUGUCACCUGGAAGUGUGGGCUUGGAAACAAGCUUGAACUCAACAUAGAGCCAGCCUCUGAGUUCUUAAGAGUCACUUCUUGAAAAAACAAGUUUGGACUCUAUUGGAGCCGAUCUUUGAUUUUCAAUUUCUGAUGUGUGGAUCUUCACGUGUGAACCACUAAAUGGGAUUACACAUGAGGGGGCGUGUUAGCAAUCCCACAUCAGUGGGGGUAAAGAAAAGCAAUAACUUUAAAUAGAAUUAUACCCCACUCUAACUAAUACAGAGGCCUUUUGUAAUAAAACCUCAUACCUCACAAAUUAGGCAAGUGCUAAAGUUGAAGAUAGUAUCGGUGUCGUUAGAGCGCCCCCCUCGGACCUGUCGAUAUAAAAUAAUUUCAACACGCCCCACUAUAGAAAACCAAAAUGCAGCACCAGAGCAAAGGGGUGAAAACCUGGAUUUUGGGAACAAACUUCAGCGACUAGAGGUGCGAGCACACCUCUUUGCGUCUUUGUAGCUUCGCCAAUGCACGUCUCGAUAUUAUUUAUGAGGAGUUCUUGAUAAUUACUUUAAAGUGUUAAUAACAGUCUCUUUCUUAUUCUGUUAGGUCCAGUACACCCUACAAUCUUAAAAUAUGCAUAAAUUCACUCAUAGAAUGAGAAAAUGCCUUGUGUCAUUUUCAAGUUUGGAAAAGGAUCCUCCCCGGAUCCUUUUCCUUGGGAUCUUAAGAAUCCCUUGAUCAUGAUCAUGAAUCGUACAUUAUACGGUCAGUUUUUGUUUAGUACUAUUUAUAUUUAAUUUUAAAUUUUAAAUUUUGAAAUGAUUUCUAACUACACGAUAUACGAUGAACGGUCACGAGAUCCCUAGAAUCCCCAGGAAAAGGAUCCGGUGAGAACCUUUUCCGUCAAGUUUGACACCAUUUGAAAAUUGGUGAGACAUGAAAAAGUUCUUGAUCCUCACUCCCCCCCACAAGGCAAGCUUAAACUCGCCCGUGAUAGAAUUUGUACCCGCGCGUUGCUGCAGGGUUGAAAAUUAUAUGAAAGAUAUUGGAAAAGGUUACCACUUCAAUGCUUAUAUACAUCGAACUUAAUCUUAGAUAUAUCCAUAGAAAAUUGGAUGAGAACGACGACCACACAACGGCCUAGGAUCUUGCACAAAGAGAAUAAAAGUAAAAAAAAAAAAGUCUAAAGAGAGUGAAAAAAAACAUUAUAUUUCAUUGCAUUCUAUUACUCUAAUUAUACACUUCACAACGGCCUAAGGAAAGUGGUUUCUUAUUGAUUAAAUGAAGCCUCACUGACUCACACAUACAGACUGAUCUAAACUAUUCAAGAAUGUGCAUCUUCUAGAGCUCACUUGCCAUUGAAGCCUCAUAGUCCUAACCGAGUUAAACCAAUUAAUAAAGCUCAUUUCGAUAAAACUUGCACACAGAAUGAGAAGCCAGUCUCAAGUACAAAUGCUUACUUGAGUAAUAUGAAAAGCCUGCUCAAGACGCUGAAUUUGAAUCCAUUGUUCACCAAAAAAUGUUGUUCAUCUGCAAGCAAAGACAAAGAAGCCAAUUGCAAAAUGACACCAUACUCAUAGUCUCAUAGACCGAAGAUUGUAGGAAGCAUAUCAGCAUAUAGUAUACGACCUUUUGAGCAUGCGAGGCAACUGUUCCAAGUCGAUCCUUAGCAUCCCGUGCUUUCGACGAUCAAAGUUGAACCUUCUAGACGCCUCCCAUAAAAUCCAUACCUAAAAAGCAAUUCCAAAACUUAUUUCUCAAAGUCCAACACUGGAUUGAAAAAUUGCAAAAACAAACUGGAAAAUUCGAAAGAAUUUAUAAGGCGGUGGGAUGUUGUACAGGGUUGGUACCUGGAGCUUGAGAAAUCAAAGAGCUUGCCAGUUUGGGAAAAGAUGAUAACAACAGCUUCAGAUUCACACAGAAUGGACAGCUCUCCAGCAUUCUUCAAAUCCACUCUUCUCCUCUUUGAGAAGGUCACCUGCCUUGCCGGCAAGUAAUCGAUCUUCCUGAUCUUGAUCUUCUCCCUCAUCAUUUUCUCCAAUUCUUCCUACCCCUUUCAGAAACAAUAAUUCAAGUAAAAUAAAAUAAACCAACUACUUCGAAUUUCCACAUAUAUAUAAAUGUCCACAAACUCAAAAACUACGUUAUAUUUUCUGGGUUUCUGAUAAUUUUAAGGAUUAUUGACCACAAAACCUAGCAUUUCAAAUCUAAAUAAGUAAAACAAAACCCAGAUCAACCCAUCAACCACAAUCAACUGUCCAAUAUUUCGUAUUUACCAAACUUGAUUAACACCCAAAAAAAAAAA